UUUUUUUUAAAAGUACUACCUAUUUUGUACCAAAUUCGAAAAGCGUAUGUCGAAAUUGAAAAUAAAAAUAAAAAUAGCACCCCGUCGGCCUCUGGUCGGUCGAAGAGGGGCCCGUCAGCCGGCGCGAGGCCGAAGAGGCCCCGUCGGCCUGCACGCGACCGAAGAGGGGCCCGUCGGCCUCCCGUUGGCCGAAGAGUGGUAGGGGCACAAAACACAAUUAAGAUGGCAUUAAAUGAAAAAGUUAUCAACAUGAAAAAUAUUUGUCUCGUCGAAUCGGUUGAUUUUGAUAUAAAAAUCGUCUUAAUCCGAGGUCGUAUGCAACCUGUAGAGCCAAAACAAGGUUAGGGGCAAAAGUUGCACAGUUACUUCGGACAAACCGACUGGAUGUCAGAAAAUUUGUUACGGGACACCCUAUGCAGGCCCUAAGUUACUUCGGACAAACCAGAUGCGUUUAAAAAAAGGUAAUUAGGUGUUUAUUCCCUGCAACAAGUGAUUAGUUGUUUAUUAGAAGGAAAAUGGAAAUAUGGAAUUACAGUUAGGAUUUUUGAUCCAAAAAAUUAUUCGUCUCCACCGGGAAGACUGCUUGCAUACCGCGCUUUUGGCCGAUACACGGUGACGAUUUUGUGUGCAUCACCCCUGGCGUCGAGGGUACACGGUGACAGGCCUGAGAGGNNNNNNNNNNNNNNNNNNNNNNNNNNNNNNNNNNNNNNNNNNNNNNNNNNNNNNNNNNNNNNNNNNNNNNNNNNNNNNNNNNNNNNNNNNNNNNNNNNNNUUUGCAUUUUCAUCAUUUUGCAAAUCUUAAGCUUCAUUUUCCUUUGCAAAAACCUUUUGGUAAUCAUGAGAAAUAGUAGAUUUUCAUGAAAAUCAGUAUUUCCAGUAGGUAAUAAAUUACUUUAUUAGGGUACUAACCACUCUAAUCAGCUUAUGAUGAGUUUCGUAUGAACGGAGUUUUCAAGUAUGCGAUGGGAGAUGAUGGAAGAAGAUACAAGAGUGUCAAGCGCUCAAGCUUGGGGAUGCCCCCAUGCACCCCAAUAAAUAUUCAAGGAGACUCAAGCGUCUAAGCUUGGGGAUGCCCCUGUGCAUCCCCUUCUCUAUCAACAAUCAUCAGUUCGUCCAUCUCCAUGCUAUAUUUUUAUCACUUCAUAUGUUAUGUGCUAUACUUCGAGCGUCCCGCCCUUUACUUUUUAGUUUGUUUUAGUUUUUCUUGCUAUUCAUAACAAGUCGGAACCUAGCCUACCUUGUUUGGGAGAGAAGGAUGUUCCAUUCCGCUCUAGAACACAACAUAGGUUUUCAUGCUUAUUUUUUGUGUGUGUUCUUUAUCUUUUCGUAGCUACUGUCAUGCCUAGAUCUUAUUUUUCAUGCUAUAUAUUUUUAAGAGCGAUUAUUUAGGUUGAUUUUGGAACUCUCUUUAGUUAUCAUGCUUAUCUUGUCAGAGAGUUGGCUUGUUGAACUGAGUUGUGUGUCUUACAUGAGUAGGUAAUUAAAAUUGCUAUUUAAGUAUAGUAGUAACUUGCAAUAGUUUUGAGGUAUUGAUUUGAGUAAUGUUUGGACUAUUUGUGCCAAGAGCUUGAGCCUAUUAGUGAUAGGUGCCAUAUUUUGGGAAAUCCAUGUGUUUUUUAAAAACUAAAAAGUAGUUGAGAACUCUAGCUACUAAAUUGAUCGCUAACCUCUAGUGGGGUUGGAAUAUAUAGAGUACCCUCACGUUACCAUGGGUCGAGGAUGCGCAAGGAUAACCAAACCCCCAAACACUCCUCCUUGGGGUACUUGUCUCUUUGUGAAUUUCCUAACUAGAUAGAGAGUUACCAAUAAUAAGUGUAUGAGUUCUUCGGACUAAUGUGAUUAUUCGAUUGUUGGCACUUCCACUAUCCAUAUUUUGCUAGCCUCUUCGGUACCGUGCAUUGCCCUUUCUCAUCUUGAGAGUUGGUGCAAACUUCGCCGGUGCAUCGAAACCCAUGACAUGAUACGCUCUGUGAUACAUNNNNNNNNNNNNNNNNNNNNNNNNNNNNNNNNNNNNNNNNNNNNNNNNNNNNNNNNNNNNNNNNNNNNNNNNNNNNNNNNNNNNNNNNNNNNNNNNNNNNGUUGUCUUCACAUCCACAUGAGCCUCAAUGAGGGUCUGCUAAGCCUCCGAGUGGAUCUCGAGAAUACACUCGGAGGAAGCUUUUUUACUUAGGCGACUCUGGAUCGCAUCUAAGUCCCCGAGUGCGGAUUUUAUUGCGCACUCGGAGCUAGUUUGUACUUAGGCGAUUCUGGGUCACAGCUAAGUCCCCGAGUGCGGCUUUUAGUGCGCACUCGGAGCGAGUUUGUACUUAGGUGACUCUGGGUCGCAGCUAAGUCCCCGAGCGCGACUUUUAGUGCGCACUCGGAGCGAGUUUGUACUUAGGCGACUCUGGGUCGCAGCUAAGUCCCCGAGUGCGACUUUUAGUGCACACUCGGAGCGAGUUUGUACUUAGGCGAUUCUGGGUCGCAGCUAAGUCUCCGAGUGCGGCUUUUAGUGCGCACUUGGAGCGAUUUUGUACUUAGGCGACUCUGGGUUGCAACUAAGUCCCCGAGUGCGACUUUUAGUGUGCACUCUGAGCGAGUUUGUACUUAGGCGAUUCUGGGUCGCAGCUAAGUCCCCGAGUGCGGUUUUUAGUGCGCACUCCGAGCGAGUUUGUAGUUAGGCGACUCUGGGUCGCAGCUAAGUCCCCGAGCGCGAAUUUUAGUGCGCACUCGGAUCGAGUUUGUACUUAGGUGACUCUGGGUCGCAGCUAAGUCCCCGAGUGCGACUUUUAGUGCGCACUCGGAGCGAGUUUUUUUGACGGGAGUCUGCAAACGCGGAAGAAUUUUGACCCUGCAAGAAAUCAAUUUGCUUUGUAUUACUUCAAUGAUACUUGUUCUUUACAUUGUCUCCGUCGGCGGUCACGUGUAGAAGCGUUUCAGGAGAUGUCCAUUCCAUGCUUGCGGCUCGUCCGUUUCCCUGUCGAGGUUAUAGAGUCGAUACGCUCCGUUGUUCAGCACCUUAGAGAUGAUGAAGGGUCCUUCCCAGGCGGGAGCCAACUUGUGAGGUCUCUGCUGAUCCACUCGGAGCACCAGGUCGCCUGCUUGGAAUGUGCGAGUCCUGACGUGCCGCGUGUGAAAUCGCUGAAGAUCUUGUUGAUAAAUUGUUGAGCGAGUCAGUGCCAUCUCGCGCUCUUCUUCUAGAAGAUCUACUCCGUCUUUCCUGGCUUGCUCUGCUUCGGCUUCGGAGAAGAGUUCGACUCAUGGAGAGUUGUGAAGCAAGUCACUCGAAAGGACUGCCUCGGCUCCAUAAACGAGGAAGAACAGGGNNNNNNNNNNNNNNNNNNNNNNNNNNNNNNNNNNNNNNNNNNNNNNNNNNNNNNNNNNNNNNNNNNNNNNNNNNNNNNNNNNNNNNNNNNNNNNNNNNNNGUAUUUGUGUGAUAGUAGUAGGGGUUUUGCUCUACACCAUAGUGGUGUCAAUUACCUCUUGGUGUUAUGUGUGUGCAAACUAUGCCUAGACAAAGUGGGCAUGUGGCUGAAAAAUUCCAGAUUAGUGAACUCUGAAAUUUCACUAAGUCUGGGAUCCUGGAAACAUUUUCUUCCCCUAUAUAUGAGGAUGUUCUGGUCAUUCUGUUGCACACUAGCCUUAGUUCAGUGCUAGGAUUUUGAACCUGGUAUGUGUGUGAAGCUCCCUGUAAAAUUUCAAGUAAUUUGGAGUCCAGUAGGUUGUGUUUUGGUUGCUGUCAAAAAGCUUGAGAACAGAGGCAGAAACUCAGGUGCAGGAAUUUUCACUAAGUCCCUGAGAUCUGAUGGUUUUGGGAAAGUUUGGGGCCUUGUAUCUUCUAGAGUUUAAUUCCUUUUGCUGUGAUUCUUGCUGGUGCUUGUAGUGUUCUUGGUUGGCAACAGACACAUAUAUUAUUUGUCAUGCUUGAAGACCUGUAGCUAUGUUGCAUGUAGCUCCCAAAUAGCUAAGAUGCAGAUUAUGGCAGAUUAUGUAGUUUUGUCAUUUUGAUCAAAGUAUGUGCUUAAUUGAUGUUGUGGUGUUCUACCUUGCUCCAAUUCAUUCAUGUUGGGUUGUUACAUGUCUUGGCAACCUGGGAAUACCAGAUUUGUGCCAUUUGAGUGUGUGGUGUUGAUUCUUUCACGUAGAGCUUCAUAUCUUGUUUCGUUGAUUCCCGUUGAUCCGUAGCUCCGUUUGCAAUGUUCUUUAUAUGGUUUUGCACCAUUUUCACGAGCCGCACCUGUUCAUGUCAUUAUCAUGCAUGUCAAAAUAGUUCAGUGUUCAAUUCUGUCCCGAAACUUGCAGCAGUUUAUUUUGCUUGUGCUUGUGAUAGAAAUAGUGGUGCAUGCUCAAAUUUCAUCGCAUGCAUCAUGUGAUUGUUGCAUCUUGUGGUGCUGCUGUUCAUUGGAUGUUAUUAUUGUGUUGGAUAGCACCGGGAUCGGAGAACGAAUACGUGGAGUCAGGAGAGUACGUGCAGGACGAUCCAGAACCAUUCCAAGCUGAGGAUAUCACAGGCAAGAUGAUAUGACCUUGAUUCCAUCUCUAGACUUGUUAUGUUAGUUUCGUUUCCAUGUCAUAUUGCUCGCUACCUACCACUGAAAUUAAAUUGCCUCUUCAUAUGCCAUGAGCCCAAACACCGUACUCCUUCCUAGCAAACUUGUAUGGCUAANNNNNNNNNNNNNNNNNNNNNNNNNNNNNNNNNNNNNNNNNNNNNNNNNNNNNNNNNNNNNNNNNNNNNNNNNNNNNNNNNNNNNNNNNNNNNNNNNNNNAAAAUCCAGCACCGCCGGAACUAUGUCAUGCUUCAGUAGAUCCCAGUGAUGCUGAUAGAAGCCGGUUGUGAAUCCCUCCACCCCUGGCGCUUUAGAUGAGGCCAUCUGAAAUAAAGCAGCAUGCACCUCUUAUGCUUUGAACGGUUUAUACAGCAAAUCAUCCAUUGCCGGUGUGACCCGACUUGGAAAUGCGAUAACAUCUUCUCGUUGUUGUUGUACCCUUGAGAUGUAUAAAGGGCUUGAUAAAACGCAAGGAUAUCUUCCUUAUCAUCAUCUCCCGAGGCACAUACUGAGCCAUUCGACCGCUGCAAAUUGGUGAUCUUGUUUAUGCGUUUACGUUGCUUAGCUUGCGCGUCAAAGUAGGUCGUGUUGUGUUCUCCUUCGCAUAACCAAGGGACGCGAGACCGCUAUUUCAACCAUAUCUCCUCCAGUUUGAGCGCUUCUCGGAGCUCAAACAUAGUAGCUCUUUCUUCCUCUGAAGGACCUCGUCCAACUGACUGCCAUCGCAACCUCUCGAACCGAUUUUGCAGCUGCCGGACUGUCCUUGUUAGGCAACCAAAUUAUUGAACCCCCAAGGCAAUGGCUUGUGUUGUAGAGCCGCGAGGGAGUCCAUUACAUCAUGCAGGCCUCGCUGCCUAGCUUGUGCUUGCCAAGUUUCUGUAACCAGCUGUUCAUAGUCAUUAUGAGAUCGCCAUAUGUUCUCAUAACGAAAAGGUUUCUAAGGAUCUGAAUUGCUAUUAGGAUGUUGUUGCCGCAAGUUAGCAAGUACAAAGCACUGAUAUGACUCGACGGAACAAACAUGGCGCACUUUAACAUACUCGAAUAUCUGUCUGAAUUCCUCAUUAGCAAAUGCUCGGUCUAACCGAGCUUUAACAUUGGCAUUGUCAGAUUGUCGAUUGUCCCAUGUAUAGGGAACUCCGAACCAACCUAAAUCGUGAAACACGCACUCAUCCGUGGGGCCAAUAGCUCAUGUGCGACGUCUUUCCUGAGAAUUGGAUGGAAUGAGACGAUGUUCGACAGAAUGGCUCGGCAGCGACACUUUUGAGCGAGUAAAUAGCUCCUGUGCGACAUGGACCUUAAGCUGAACUGAUAUCCUCAUUAGCUGUUAUGGGUUGGACCCACAACGUAUCCACGUAAGCGCGGGACCCACCACUUGUCCAGUAAGCGCGGGACCUACCUCGUCGCGGCUAGAAGCGAUUCGGCCCGUGCCCGUCCGUCCGCCGCCGCCCAUUGCUUUCCCCUUUCCCCAUUCUUCUUCUUCCUCGGGUCUCCGGCGACCUAGUGCAGAUGUCCACCGCCUNNNNNNNNNNNNNNNNNNNNNNNNNNNNNNNNNNNNNNNNNNNNNNNNNNNNNNNNNNNNNNNNNNNNNNNNNNNNNNNNNNNNNNNNNNNNNNNNNNNNAGGACAUUCUGAACGUCUGGCAAGCGCGGAGUGAUGACUACUCUCUGGUCAGGUGUGGCAUGUUAUACAGUUUAGAAACGGGGCUCCAAAGGCGUUUUGAGCAACACGGGGCAUAUGAGAUGUCCCAGGAGCUGAAGCUAGUUUUUCAAGCUCAUGCCCGUGUCGAGAGAUAUGAAGUCUCCGACAAGUUCUUCAGCUAUAAGAUAGAGGAGAACAGUUCUGUCAGUGAGCACAUACUCAAAAUGUCUGGGUUACACGAUCGUCUGACUUCACUUGGAGUCGAACUUCCGGAUGAUGCUAUCAUUGACAGAAUCCUCCAGUCUCUCCCACCAAGCUACAAAGGCUUUGUGCUUAACUACAACAUGCAAGGGAUGGAGAAGACCAUUCCCGAGUUGUACUCGAUGCUCAAGUCUGCAGAAGUAGAAAUAAAGAAGGAGCAUCAAGUGUUGAUGGUCAACAAGACCACUAGUUUCAAGAAAGGCAGGGGUAAGAAGAACUUCAAGAAAGACGGCAAAGCUGUUGCCGCGCCCGGUAAGCCAGAUGCCGGGAAGAAGAAAAAGAACGGAGCCAAGCCUGAGACUGAGUGCUUCUAUUGCAAGGGAAAGGGUCACUGGAAGCGGAACUGCCCCAAAUACUUAGCGGACAAGAAGGCCGGCAACGUUAAAGGUAUAUGUGAUAUACAUGUUAUUGAUGUGUACCUUACCAGCGCUCGUAGUAGCUCCUGGGUAUUUGAUACCGGUGUUGUUGCUCACAUUUGCAACUCAAAGCAGGAACUGCGAAAUAAGCGGAGACUGGCCAAGGACGAGGUGACAAUGCACGUCGGGAAUGGUUCAAAGGUCGAUGUGAUCGCCGUCGGCACGCUACCUCUACAUCUACCGUCGGGAUUAGUUUUAAACCUUAAUAAUUGUUAUUUAGUACCAGCUUUAAGCAUGAACCUUGUAUCAGGGUCUUGCUUAAUGCGAGACGACUACUCAUUUAAGUCAGAGAAUAAUGGUUGUUCUAUUUAUAUGAGUGAUAUGUUUUAUGGUCAUGCUCCGCUGGUGAAUGGUUUAUUCUUGAUGAAUCUCGAUCGUGAUGUUACACAUAUUCAUAGUGUGAGUACCAAAAGAUGCAAAGUUGAUAAUGAUAGUCCCACAUACUUGUGGCACUGCCGCCUUGGUCAUAUCGGCGUUAAGCGCAUGAAGAAGCUCCAUACUAAUGGACUAUUAGAGUCUCUUGACUUUGAAUCAUUUGACACAUGCGAACCGUGCCUCAUGGGCAAGAUGACUAAGACUCCAUUCUCAGGAAUAAUGGAGAGAGCAACCGACUUAUUGGAAAUAAUACAUACUGAUGUGUGUGGUCCAAUGAACGUUGAAGCUCGCAGUGGUUAUCGUUAUGUUCUCACUCUCACCGAUGAUUUGAGUAGGUAUGGGNNNNNNNNNNNNNNNNNNNNNNNNNNNNNNNNNNNNNNNNNNNNNNNNNNNNNNNNNNNNNNNNNNNNNNNNNNNNNNNNNNNNNNNNNNNNNNNNNNNNAGUAAUUUUUGUAGCAAUCCUAGACCGUUCCCAUCCAACAACUAUGGGAACAACAACAAUUAUCCUAGCACCAAAAACUCCACUUCUAAAAUAGAGAGCAUGCUUAAAGACUUUAUCACUUCUCAAAAAGCCUUCAACAAGAGUGUAGAAGAGAAGCUAGAAAAAUUAGAUAGUCUCCCUUUGAAGGUGGACAAUAUAGCUCACGAUGUAGAGAUGCUUAAAAAUAGUACUUCCCCGCUUGAGGAAAGGAACACCACACCCAUGAAUGCUAUCCAAGUCCAAAUUAAUGAGAACAUGAGAAUGCUAGCCAAACUUAAAGAGAGAUGGGCUAGAGAAAAAGAAGAGGAAGAUAUUAUUAAGAGCCUUCCUACACACACUACCAUUGCUAUUGUACAAUUUGUUGAGGAUCUCAAAACUUUUAGCACCCAUCGCACUCCUAGUCCCAAUGGACCUAUUAAUGGUGAUGCUAAUACCUCAAUUAUAGGACAAGAAGGUCCUUUGAAUUUAGAGACAACCAAAAGAAUGAGCUUAAAUGACAUUACUACCACUUUAACUAAUGGUAGUAACCUUGAUUUUGACAAUUGUACCCUUUUUGAAGUUAUCACCUUUUUGCAAAGAAUGGCUAAAGACCCCCACACUAGUACACUUAAUAUUGCCUUCACCGAGCAUAUUACCAAUGCUCUUAUCAAUGCUAGGGAGGAGAAGCUCAAGCUAGAGACUUCUAUUCCUAGAAAACUAGAAGAUGGUUGGGAUCCUAUGGUCAAGAUUAAAUUAAAUAAUAUCUCUUGCUUUGCAUUAUGUGAUGUUGGAGCUAGUGCUUCCGUUAUGCCCAAAAUAAUGUAUGAUAUGCUUGAUUUGAAAUCUUAUGAUCCAUGUUCUUUUGGUGUUCGUCCUGUUGAUUCUUCCAUAAAGAAAUCUUUAGGGAGAAUUUAUGAUGUUCUUAUUAUUGUCAAUGAUAAUUAUGUGCCCGUUGAUUUUGUUAUUAUGGACAUUGAAUGUGAUCCUUCAUGUCCAAUUAUUUUGGGACGUCCUUUUCUCCGCACUGUUGGUGCUAUCAUUGACAUGAAAGAGGGGACCAUUAGAUUCCAAUUUCCCCUUAAAAAGGGAAUGGAACACUUCUGUCGAAAGAAUAUUAAGGUGCCUUAUGAGUCCGUCAUUCGGGCAAGUUAUUCUUAUAGAGUUGAUAAUACUUGAUCUUUUUGCAUUAUGCCUAGCUCAAAGGCAUAAAAGAAAGCGCUUGUUGGAGGUAACCCAAUUUGUUUUUUACUUUCAGUUUUAGUGGUCUUGAUGCUUGUUACUACUGUAGCAACAUCAUUGUAUCUUUAUUUUUAAGCUUUGUGCCAAGUUUUAGCCUCCGAUUGCAAGAAAAUUCAAAAGUUGUGACAUGCUGUCCAGAAACAGAUUAUGUGUGCCUGACGGAACAAUUCGCCAAAGAUCAUCAGAUCAUCUUGUUGAUCUGAUUUUUUACAGCAUGCUCUAUAUAAUUGUCUUUCUGGCAUCUGUUCUGAGUUUUUCGAUCUGAGUUGUAGAAGUGCCCCGAAUAAAUUAUUUACUACGUGUUGUUCUGUUUUUCGCAGAUCCUGUCAUGUUUUGCAUUUUCAUCAUUUUGCAAAUCUUAAGCUUCAUUNNNNNNNNNNNNNNNNNNNNNNNNNNNNNNNNNNNNNNNNNNNNNNNNNNNNNNNNNNNNNNNNNNNNNNNNNNNNNNNNNNNNNNNNNNNNNNNNNNNNGAUAGAGGAUUACUUUGCGGCCCGUGUACGUUUGUGAUGGACUAGUUGGAGCACCCCUGCAGGGUUUAAUCUUUCAGAAAGCCGUGCCUGCGGUUAUGUGGCAACUUGGAAUAUUUUGUUAACAUUCGGUAAUAGAUAACUUAAACAUAAGCUAAUAAAAUUGCCAACUGUGUGCGUAAUCGUGACUGUCCCCUUCGAAGAUCUCUCUUCGAUCGGAAACACGGUGGGGUUAUGAUUGAUGUAGGUAGGUGUUCAGGAUCACUUAGUGAUCAUCUAUCAUCGACCGCUAGUAUAGACCACCUUCGUAUAUGUUCUACGUAAGUUAGCCACCAUACCAAGCAUAGGAUGCUCCAACCUAAAUACUCCACCUGUCCAACCUAAUAACUUGACUAGUUCUAGCACCGAGGUCAUAGAUUGCUGAGUCCCCGUGGCUCACGGAUUCCUUCUCAACACCAACAGGUUCAGGUACCCCCGAGACAGGUGAUCCCGACGGCACGUAGUUGGCAUGGCAGUAUGAUGAGGAGAACAACCGCCUGUACGUGAACUAUCCAGAAGAUUGAGGCGUGGUCGUGAUCGUGGGCCAGCAGGCAGGGUAGCAUAGUCAUUUCCCUUGUUUUGUAGUCCGUAGUGGAACUACCUUGUUUGCAUGCGUGAUGUAACUCUGAUAUAUUAAUGAGAUGACAGUUUAAUCCCUUAUUGUCAUUCCUCUACUAUUUAUGUAUGUGCUAUGUUACCAUGUUUGCGAAAUGCUUAGAUGCGCUUCUUUCCAAUUCGGGGCCUCGAUCCCCAGAUUGGAAAGGAUCGCAUCUUAGUCGUUACAAGCUGGUAUCAGAGCCUUACGACCAUAGGAGCCUUUGUGUGAUCGUACUUGGCCGAGUCGAGUCUAGUAAAAUGUUUUGAGUCUUAGUUAUAUCAGAGAGUAGGAUUAUUUUUUCUCCUCUUCCAUGCUCUGGUGAGGUUCCCGUCUUAGGAAAUCUUAAUUCUACUCCUCUUCUCGCUCAAAAAAAAAUUAGGAUCACGCGGGUAUUUGUGAAAUCUAUAUGAUUUCGAUGUGACGGAGUUCUAUCUUGGUGCCUCCUGUCUGCCUUGAUUUCUUCCGAGGAGUUGAGCUCUAGGGGAUUCUUGCGCACAUCACCAUCAUUCAGAUUUCUUAGUAUCUAAGAAAGAAGGAUGUUCGUAAUUGCUUCAAUACUGGUAGUGGCGAGAUAACCCCGAUGUCCCCAGUACUGGUGCAGAUUGUUCGGGAGUACUGCCAUACUUUGUAUCGUUGUGAUCAUGAGGGUCUGUUGUAGAUGAAGGUUCGAGAUGCUGAAUGUGUGUUGAUGGAUGUGAUACAGGUGACGGGUUAGUAUAGGAGUUGUGUGAUAUUACUCCUUGUAUCCGUGUACCAGAUUGCAUGACCAGUUAUUUCGGGAAUUCAUAGGUUGGAUAUCAAGUAGUAUCUUAUAGGACUAUCUUCCUACAGAUGCAUGAUGGAGGUUGGGAUUCGAUAUUCACUGGGUGCGUUUGUUCACGGUCGUCUUACAGCGGUUCUCGUUGUGUCUUAAAGAGUCCUUGUAGCUCGCUACGACUCGGGGAUACUUUGUAUGUCGUGUGCACUACCUUGCACAGGAUGGCUACUAUAAAUUCGAGUCCGUGCGAUCUUAUCCACAAAGAUAUCGGAUGAAAUCUCGAUCAUAUGUUUGUUCCGAGCAGUUCUAGCUCAUACUUGUUUGCAGUGGUCUUAAUCGGAAUUUUGUCGACCGUCACUUUUAGGAAGCAUUCUUACUAUUUUCUUCGAGUGCAAUUGCUUUAUUCCUGUUUAGAUAUUCCUGUCAUUUUGAUUCAGCAAUAUCUUCAAUUUAUUCUGUGGGCUAAUGUGUUGUCCGUCUUUAGGAUGGCUCCACCAACGCGUCAGAACCCAGGGCAUGAGGAUGUGCCGCCACCACCUCCUCCUCCGAAGAAUCCUCCUCCGCCGCCGCCUCCUCCUGCAGAGGCCUGGCAAGCGGUGAUGGCCUCCACUAAUGCAAAUAAUCAUAUGUUGCUACAGUUGUUGCAAGAGAGAGCUAAUCAGCAGCAAGACAAUUUCCAGCAUGGUGGCAAUCAGUUUGCUAGUCUGAGUCAGUUCCUGUCGAAUCAGCCAAAGACUUUCACUUCCUAUGACCAGCCAUUUGAUGUCGAGGAUUGGAUCCGUGAUAUGAACAAGCAUUUCGAGUGUAGCAAUGUUCAUCCUGAGGAAUUUUUUCAAAUUUGCAACAUUCCAGUUGAAGGGGCAGGCUUCUAUCUAGUGGCAACAGUUGAAGGAUUCCAGAGGCGCUAGAGUGAUCACUUGGGAUGAGUUCUGCAGUGACUUCAGGUCCGACUACAUUCCUUCCAGCUUUGUGGAGGAGAUGCGUGAGAAGUUCAGGCGUUUGAAGCAGGGUGGCAAUUCCGUGUACAAGUACAACGUUGAGUUCCACGAGCUAGCCCGUUACGCCUUGUAGGAUAUCCCUGAUUAGAAGAGCAAGAUUUAUCAGUUCAGAGGUGGCUUGAAAGAAGAUUUGCAGUUAGCUCUGGCUUUGCACGAUCCUGAGAAGUUCAACAAGUUCUACAACUUAGCUCUCAGGGCAGAGGCAGCCUUGCUCAGGGUCGAAAAUUCUAAGAAGCGCUUCAGAGAUUCCAGCUCUUCCUCGACUCAGGUGGUUCAGAAGCAACAAAAGUUUUGGGUGUCUCCUCCUCCUCCUCGGCACUCGCAGCAGCUCAAGCACUCUGGUGGUCGUGGUUCUUCCCACCCACCCAACCAUGUCUUCCAACAGAGAUUCUAGCAUCAGAAGCAAGGGCCUCCUUAGACUCAGUACCGGCAGCCAGCAGAGGUGACUUGUCACAAGUGUUGUCAGAAGGGUCAUUAUGCCAACAAGUGUACUUCUCAGCUGUGACUGCCGCCUCCUCCUCCAGGCAAACCUCCAAGGAAUGCCCUUGUCAAGUUCAACCCCAUAUCAGCUUGAGUCAACAUGGUGAAUGCAGCUGAGGCAGAAAACUCGUCAGAUGUGAUCAUGGGUAACCUCCUCGUCAAUGAUAUUCCUGCUAAAGUGUUAUUUGAUUCUGGUGCUUCGCAUUCGUUCCUCUCCAUUCCAUUUGCAUCCAAGCAUAAUGUUCCUGUUAAAGAGCUUCCUAGUCCGUUGUCAGUAGUUUCUCCAGGCAAGUUCAUGCAUGCUAGUACUCGUGCUCCCGAUGUUUCUGUCAAGUUGGGCAGUUAUUCCUUUCUGGCUUCUCUAUAUGUCUUGGGCAAGACCGACAUCUACUUGAUCCUUGGUAUCGACUAGUUGGCCAUGAACAAGGCAUGGAUUGAUUGUGAAGCUAAAGAAGUGAAGCUUACCCACUCUUCGGAGGACGUGAUUAUAUUCACGGCGCGCGAUGAUACAAUCCGUCUGUUCUGUUUGAAUGAAAAGGAUGAGAUUAAUCCUAUUUUGCAAGUCCAAGUGGUCUGCGAAUAUGAAGAUGUGUUUCCUAAAGAGCUGCCAGGCAUGCCUCCGCACAGAGAAGUUGAGUUUGUGAUUGAGCUUGAGCCAGGCACCAAGCCGGUGUGCAAACAGCCGUACAAAUUGGGUCCAGAAGAGUUGAAGGAACUUAAGAGGCAACUCGAUAGGAGCGUUUGGGUCUGAUCAGGCCGAGCUCGUCUCCGUGGGGCUGUGGAGUUCUGUUUGUCAAGAAGAAGUAUGGCACGGACCGACUGUGUGUCGAUUACCGCCCAUUGAACAAGAAGACAAUCAGGAACAAAUAUCCACUUCCGAACAUAACUGAGUUGUUCGAACAGUUGAAAGGUGCUAAGGUCUUCUCCAAGCUUGAUCUCAGAAUGGGCUAUCAUCAAAUUCACAUUCGCGAAGAAUAUAUUCCGAAGACUACCUUCAGGACUAGUUUUGGCUCGUAUGAGUAUACGGUCAUGUCUUUUGGUCUGCAAAAUGCUCCUCCGACAUUCUGUCGAUUGAUGAACUACAUAUUCUGUCCGUUCAAGAAUGACUUUGUCUUGCUCUAUCUCGACGACAUUCUGGUCUUUUCUGAAACUCACGAAGAACAUGAAGAACAUCCCAAAUUGGUGCUUGAUAAGCUGAGAGAGUACAAGUUGUAUGCCAAGUUUUCCAAGUGUGAGUUCCGGCUGAAAGAAGUAGUUUAUCUUGGUCACAUUAUCUCUGCCGAUGGGCAUUAAAGUUCAUCCGUCCAAAGUUCAGGCCAUUGUUGAAUGGGAGCCUCCGCAGAAUAUGAAGCAGCUUCGAAGCUUUCUCGGGCUUGUAGGCUAUUGUAGAAGGUUCGUUGAGAACUUCUCCAAGAUCGCCAAGCCGCUCUCAAGUCUUCUUCAGAAAGGUCUGAAAUAUUCUUGGUCUCCAGAGUGUCAGUUGGCCUUCGACACACUCAAAGAGAAGCUUACCUCCACUCCAGUCUUGGUUCCUCCGGAUGAUUCCAAGCCUUACCAGGUCUUCUGCGACGCUUCUCUCAAGGGUCUUGGUGCAGUCCUGAUGCAAGACAAGGAAGUGGUUGCUUAUACCUCUAGGCAGUUGAAGCCAGCGGAGAAGAACUAUCAUGUGCAUGAUCUUGAGCUAGCAGCUGUGGUACACACUCUGAUGACUUGGAGACACCUCUUGUUGAAACGUAAGGUUGAAGUUUUCACCGAUCACAAGAGUCUCAAGUACAUCUUCACUCAGCCUAACCUGAAUCUUCGGCAAACAUGUUGGGUGGAAAUGCUCCAGGAUUUUAAUCCGAGUGUUUAGUACACGCCAGGCAAAGCUAAUGUCGUGGCAGAUGCCUUGAGCAGAAAGGCAUACUACAACAGUUUGAUUCUGCAACCUCUCCAGCCUGGUCUUUGUGAGUCUCUCAGGAAGCUCAACCUUCAGCUAGUACCUCAGGGAUUUCUUGCAAACCUUCAGAUCUCUCCUACCUUGGAAGAUCAGGUCCGAGCAGCACAACUUCUUGACGCUAUGGUGAAGAAAGUCAAGAUUGGCGUGGCAAAGAGUCUUCCCAAGUAUAAGUGCUUCACUGUUGAUGUCAGAGACACGUUGUUCUUCGAGGAUCGCCUUGUCGUCCCGAAAGGUGAUCUCAGAAAGGUAAUCAUGGAGGAAGCUCAUAACUCUCUGCUCUCUAUUCAUCCUGGAAGCUCCAAGAUGUACCACGACUUGAAACAGACCUUCUGGUGGACUCGUAUGAAGCGUGAGAUUGCUCAGUUCGUAAAUGAAUGUGAUGUAUGUCGAAGGGUGAAAGCACAGCAUCAACGUCCAGCAGGUCUUUUGCAUCCAUUGCCCAUUCCCGAGUGGAAGUUCAAUCACAUUGAGAUGGAUUUCUUCACCGGGUUUCCGAAGUCCAAGAAGGGUAAUGAUGCCAUCUUCAUCGUCAUCCACAAGUUGAGUAAAGUGGCUCAUUUUCUUCCAGUCAAGGAAUCCAUUUCAGCAGCUGAGCUUGCAGAGUGGUACACCUCCAUGACUGUGUCCUUGCACGGUGUGCCUAUGAUCUCUUUGGAUCGCGGAAGUAUCUUCACUUCCAAGUUCUGGGACUCUUUUCAGUCUGCUAUGGGCACGAAGAUCCGCUUCAGCACAGCGUUUCAUCCUCAGACUAGUGGUCAAGUGGAGCGAGUCAAUCAAGUUCUUGAGGAUAUGCUGAGAGCCUGUGUUAUCUCUUUUGGCAUGAAGUGGGAAGAUUGUUUGCCUUUUGCGGAGUUCUCAUAUAACAACAGUUAUCAAGCUAGUUCUGGCAAGACUCUGUUUGAAAUCUCUAUGGCAGGAAGUGUCGUACCCCGCUCAACUGGUCCGAGACCGGCGAGCGUCAGAUCCUUGGGAAUGAUUUGAUAGAAGAAGCUGAGGAGAUGUGUCGGGUCAUUCGCGACAACCUCAGAGCAGCUCAGUCCCGUCAGAAGAGCUAUUAUGAUAGCAAGCACCGUGACAUGUCUUAUGAGCUUGAUGACUUCGUCUAUCUCAAGGUGUCUCCUAUGAAGGGUAUGCAGCGCUUUGGCAUCAAAGGCAAGCUUGCGCCUCGUUUCGUUGGUCCGGUCAGAGUGGUUGGCAAGAGAGGCGACCUUGCGUACCAGCUCGAUCUCCCGUCAAACUUUGCAAAUAUCCAUGAUGUGUUCCAUGUUUCUCAGCUUCGGAGGUGCUUCAAGACCCCCGAGUGCACUGUUCAUCUUCAAGACAUCGACCUUCAGCCUGACCUUUCUUAUCGUGAGCAUCCAGUUGCGGUUCUCGAGGCGACUGAGCGCAAGACCCGCAACAAGACCGUCAAAUUUCUCAAAGUGCAAUGGUUACACCAUUCCGAUAAAGAGGCUACUUGGGAACGCGAGGAUCACCUCCGUUCUGAAUUUUCGGAGUUCUUUCAGGCGUAGAUCUUGGGGCGAGAUCUUUUUGUAGUGUGGGAAGUUUGUAAUGCCCCAAAUGUGUAACCUUCCCUAUUUGGAAACCUUCUUAUGUGGGACCACCUUGUCAAUGCUAUGAGAGAGUUCAUGCUCAUGAUUUCAUGUGAUGUCCCUUGUAUUUCUUCCUUGCAUGCAUGCAUAACAUAUCAUAUAUUUUCCUUGUCCUUGUGAUGUUGCAUUGUGUUCUUAUGAUUUCAUGUGAUGCUUGUGUUCUUAUGUGGUGAAGUGAGAUGUGAAGUUUGUGUGGAGAUUGCAUGUGAUAGUAGGAUUAGAAGUGGUUUGCAUAGCCUUCAAAAUCUAUCUCCCUCCUAUUUAUUUCAAGCCCAUAUCUUCUUGCCUCUUUCCUGAUUCAAAAAUGCUCAUGUGUUAGCUUUGAUUUGUGGUGAAUGAGAGAUGUGAUUUGUUGUUUUUGAAUGGGUGUUUAAAAGGUGCAAACAAUUACAAAACAAACCCUACAAUGGUUGUUUUGUAAAAUAUUUACUUGCUCCUAAACUCUUGUUUCUAUUUUUAUUAAAUAGGUCUUGCUUUUACAUGUCCAGGCAAGUGCUAUUUUUGUUUUUGCACUUGUAUAUUUCCUUGUGCAUUUCUUUUCCUCUCUGUUUAUUUCUGUAAAUAGGAAACCAGGGAAUUCUUUUCCCUCUAUCUGGCGCUAGUAGUGGGCUUACUCCCACUAGCAGGCCCAUCUUCCCUCCUCUCUUUCUCUCGCAGCCCAGCUUCCCACUUGCCCCUGUAGACGGUGUCAUGUUCACCCCCUUCCUCCGUCAGCUCUCUUCAGCCUUGCGGGUUCAGAGCAACGGCAUCAGACGUCGUCAUGGACAUCGAGGAGCGUCCCUCGCCCCUCUACUUCAUAAAAGGAGCCCCCCUUGGCGUCCGUGCAGAUAGGGUUUCCCCUCUCGCGCCGCCACCACCAUUUCCUUGCCAUCUCUCUCUCUGUCGUCGAGCUUCACGUAAGGGGAUCAGUCCCUCCGCCAUGGCCGAGAGUUGAGGAACUCCCCGUCGUCGCGCCCGUGCCUCUUCUUCCCCUCCGACGACUCGACGAGCACGCGGGAACCUCUAGGGAUCCAUCCCGGCGGCUAGGACGUCAAGAUCUCCCCUGCUUCCUCUUUUCCACGACGGCGGCUUCCUUCCCCGACGAGCAUCCUCGAUCGGUUGAUUCCCGCUUCUUCCCCUGCUACCUCUCCGACCAGGACCGGGAUCUUCUUUCAUUGGGUGAGCAGAUCCUCCUCUUCCCCCUUCCCUGUCUUAGAGCAUGUGUAGCAGCCGUAGCGUCGCCGCCGUGCUGCUCCCUAUCGCCAGCGCCGCCGCGCAUCGUAGAGGUGUGGCUGUGGUGCUUCUCGAGUAGGUCUAGCUAGGGAGAUGGAACCGUGGAUGCGUCGACGUCCUUCCAUCAACGAGUCGGUGCUCGAUUUAGCUUCUUUCACAGGCGGGAUAGCUCCCCUGUUCCGUCUGCCGUGGAUCAGAUGUGGAUCCCGAAGGGGUGCUCAACAGAGCAGACCCCCCUUCUCUGUCAGACUCCCGUUCGUAGCGUAGUGGUAGCGUGCUAUUGUUGCCUGUUGAGAGGUCGCGGGUUCGAAUCCCCCUCGGCAACCUUUUUGCUUUAUUUCUUUGGCACAGUGGAGGCAGGGUAAACCAUACCCUGUUAGCACACUCUCUCUGGUCGAACCAGUGGCCGUAGCAGAGUGGUGUGGCUAUGUGUGUUGUGUGUGGGUUCGACCCCAGCACCUCCCCUUUUUAUUUUCCCUUUGUUUUCUUUUAUUUUUUCCCUUUGCUGUUUAGAUAUCUAUGCAGCCCCUGUUCUUGUAGCUUUGUAGUGAUUUGUACUUGAGGGUUUACAUGUUUACCUCCUCUCAAAACCAGCAUGGGAGUUAUGCAUGUUGCUAGCUUUGUGAACCCAUGAGGUGCACUUGUGGUGUAGUGUGUGUGUUGACACAUAUGCAUGUGUAUGUGUGGGCAAGUGGUAUGAGAUGUGGUGUGAUCUAAGUGUUUGUAUGUGUGUGUGUGCAUGUGGUGUGGCUCACACACAUGCCCAAGGCAUGAGGUGCCUUGAUGAGCACAGGUUUGCAAGUUAGCAUGUGUUGUGUAGAAGUAUCUAUGUGAGUAGUGCCAUCUAUUUAGUUAUGUAGGAGUUGCAUCUAUGUUGUGCUUGUCCCAUGUGAUGGUGUGGUGAUGUGCCAAUGCACAUAGGCAUGAGGACUACCUCUCAUGUACCCCCAUUGGUGUUGUGGUCAUGUGCAAGAGCUUGUGUAGGUUUUGUUCUAGUGAAUAGCACAUGUGAUGAUGCACUAUUCACUAGAUGGGAUUCAUGUAGAUUUCACUUCCUAGUUUGUGCUCAUUUGUUCCAAGCAAGUGCAUAAGUAUUCUAUAUGCUUUUGGGGUAUAAAGAUCCCAGGAAUCUAUUGGUGAAGUCAUUUUUGCCUUUGGAACAUUUUCUGGAGAUGACAUAUUUCAGUUUUAUUCCAUGUUUAGAGCUUGGUUCCAUGUGAUGUGGUGAGCCCAAGGGUUUGCUUCUUGGUUGUGGUAGUAGAGGGUGACCCCCUCUACCACAUGUUGGUUUCAUUCCAUGUUUAGGAAUCCAUAUGUGCAAGUUGUGCCCAAUCAAACUAGGCAUGUGGCUGAAAUUCCAGAUUAGUGCUAAGUCUGAGAAUCUGUUUAUAUUUUCUUCUCAUGUUGAUGAGGUUGUGCAGAUCAAUGUGUUGUGAUCUAGCCUUAGCUUUCAACUGGAAAGUUGAAGAUGAUAUGUUUGUCUAGAUCCUUAUAAAUUUUCUUUCCAUUUGGAGUCAUGUAGAUAUUGUUUUGACUGCUGUCAAAAUGCUUCAAAGCAUAGACAGAAAGUGAGAAUCUGGAAUUUUCACAAAGUCCCUGAAAUCUGAUAUUUUUGGGCAAGUUUGUAGCCUUGUAACUUUCUGUGUUUAACUCCUUUGUGUGGGAUUCUUGCUUGUGCUUGUAGGAAUCUCGGAUAGCUACAGCCACAUAUCUUAUUUGGCAUGUUUAGGUGGUUGUAGGUGCUUUGCAUGUAGCUCACAAAGUGCUAUGAUGCAGUUUAUGGCAGAUUGCGUAGUUUUGGCAUUUUGAUGAUGGUGAGUGCUUAGUUGAUGAUGUGUUGUUCUUAUCUGCUCCACCCCAUCCAUGUUGCAUUGUUUUAUCUCUUGGCUACUUGGAUAUACCAUAAUUGAGCCAUUGGAGUGUGUUGUGGUGAAUUUGACACGUAGGGCUUCAUAUCUUGUUUUGUUGGUUCCCGUAGAUCCGUAGUUCCUAUUGUAAUGUUCUUUAUAUGGUUUUGCAUCGUUUUCUCGAUAUGCAUCUGAUCAUGUCAUUCUCAUGCAUGUAAAUAUAGCUUAGAAUGCAUUUCUGUCCAGGAACAUGUAUUUACUUCUCAUGCUUGUGCUAGUGAUAGAAAUAGUGAUGCAUGCUCAUAUUCAUCUCAUGCAUCAUGUGCUUGUUGCAUCUUGAGGUGCUGUUGUUUAUUGGAUGUGAUUCUUAUCUUGGGUAGCACCGGGAUCGAAGAACGAGUACGUGGAUUCGGGAGAGUACGUGCAGGACGAUCAAGAACUGUUCCAAGCUGAGGAUAUCACAGGCAAGAUGAUAUGACCUUGAUUCCAUCUCUAGACUUAUUAUGCUAGAUUACGUUUCUUCCAUCAUAUGCUCACUGCCUACCACUGAAAUAUUUGCCUCCUGGUAUGCCAUGAAACCCAAACACUUAUCCCUUCCUAGCAAAUCUUGAAUGGCUAAGUAGGCUUUGCUCAACUACUAAUGUUAGAGUUGCUAGAUGCAGGUGCUUUGCCUCAUGUGAUAACAUGAGCUUGAUAUCAUUAUAUUAAUUCGUUAUUUAAUUAAUGCACCUAUAUACUUGGUAAAUAACAGAAGGCCUAGCCUUUUGCCGGGUGCUUUGUUCCGUUAUUGCCGCCAUAGUUACCGGCUACCGGUGUUUGAUUCCAUAUUAUUCGCUCCUAACACGUUCGGGGUUGUAUGGGGACCCCCUUGAUAAAUCGCGUAGUGUUAAGACUUGUCCGGAAGGACCCAACAUUGGUUUUAAUCUGCUAAUCACUUAAUAAUAAUAUGAAUAGGGAAUAGCUACCCCGAGGAAUUUAAUCAACAACCCGGGCCAGUGCUCCUCAUGAGUGUUGGUCCCACCUGAGCGAUGUCCAGGGCCCCACUGGUCACCCAGAGGUUUAGCCAUCCCGACGUCUAGCUCAUCCGUUGUGUCCUGAGACUGAGAUACGCGGCUCUUAUAAGGGUCAUCGACACGACGGGAGGUCCUGCUAGUCUUGUCUUACCUUAGCGAUAUAUCUUGCGUAUAGGAAUCCCGGUGAAGCUUUGGUUCUCCCCAAAGUUGAGGUUUUCCUCUAAGGAAUCCGACGAUAUCACGAAAUUCAUGAUAGAGGAUUACUUUGCGGCCCGUGUACGUUUGUGAUGGACUAGUUGGAGCACCCCUGCAGGGUUUAAUAUUUCGGAAAGUCGUGCCCGCGGUUAUGUGGCAACUUGGAAUAUUUUGUUAACAUCCGGUAAUAGAUAACUUAAACAUAAGCUAAUAAAAUUGCCAACUGUGUGCGUAACCGUGACUGUCCCCUUCGAAGAUCUCUCUUCGAUCGGGAACACGGUGGUGUUAUGAUUGACGUAGGUAGGUGUUUAGGAUCACUUAGUGAUCAUCUAUCAUCGACCGCUAGUAUAGACCACCUUCAUAUAUGUUCUACGUAAGUUAGCCACCAUACCAAGCAUAGGAUGCUGCAACCUAAAUACUCCACCUGUCCAACCUAAUAACUUGACUAGUUCUGGCACCGAGGUCAUAGAUUGCUGAGUCCCCAUGGCUCACAGAUUCCUUCACGACACCAACAUGUUCAGGUACCCCCGAGACAGGUGAUCCCGACGGCACGCAGCUGGCGUGGCAGUAUGAUGAGGAGAACGACCGCAUGUACGUGAACUAUCCAGAAGAUUGAGGCGUGGUCGUGAUCGUGGGCCAGCAGGCAGGGUAGCAUAGUCAUUUCCCUUGUUUUGUAGUCCGUAGCGGAACUACCUUGUUUGCAUGCGUGAUGUAACUCUGAUAUAUUAAUGAGAUGACAGUUGAAUCCCUUAUUGUCAUUCCUCUACUGUUUAUGUAUGUGCUAUGUUACCAUGUUUGCGAAACGCUUAGAUGCGCUUCUUUCCAAUUUGGGGCCUCGAUCCCCAGAUCGGAAAGGACCGCAUCUUAGUCGUUACACGGCAGGGCACCACAACGUGCCCCAGAUGGGAUCUUGCAGAGACAGAAGCUUGCGGCGGCGGAAAAGUAUUUUCGUUGAUCUCCCUGGCAGGUUUGGAAUUUUUCUGGAUUUAUAGGCGGAAGAGGUAGGGCAGACGUGCCAUAGGGGGCCCACAAGCCUGCUAGGCGCGGGACUCCCUGGCUGCGCCUAGGGGGCUUGUGGGGUCCCCUGCUGGCCCUUGCCUUGGUUCUCAAGUCUGACGCGUAUCUUCUGUUUCAGAAAAAAUCUUUUCAGAAGUUUUAUUCCGUUUGGACACCGUUUAAAAUCCUCCUCUAAAAAGGGUCAAAAACACGGAAAAAACAGGAACUGGCACUUGGCACUGAGUUAAUAAGUUAGUCCCAAAAAAGAUAAAAAAGGCAUACGAAACAUCCUAAGUUUGACCAGAUAAUAGCAUGGAACCAUAAAAAAUUAUAGAUACAUUGGAGACGUAUUAGUCAUCUGCUUGGUACCCGACUUAGCCGCUGGCGCAGAUUUGUCCGUCGCCACGGACUGCUUCUUGAAGAAGAAAAGCUUGCGCCAUAGGUACAGGCGGGGUUCAAUCCCUAUGAAUCCCUCACACAGGACGACGAAGGCGGCAAGCUGGAGGACGGCAUUGGGCACCAAGUUGUGCGGCUGCAGACCGAAGAAAGUCACAAAGCGUGAGAAGAAGUUGCUCGCCGGAAGCCCGAAGCCGCGGUAGAAGUGUUACUCGAACAGCACCACCUCACCUUUUCCGGGGGUCGGGGCUGCUUCGGCGCCGGGCACCCGUGCCGACACGAGGUCCGCUGGAGGAAGCACGCGGCGGUGGCCUAGUGCCUCGAUGUGCUCGACGCUGACUUCGCUGCCCACCCACGCACCUCCAGACUGCCCCUUCUUGGGGGCGCUGCUAGACAUGGUGGGGUGGUGGCGAGGAGUGAGACGGAGUCCCGGCGGCGAACUGCGGUGACGGCACAAACAGCGGCGAAGGCGAGCAACGCUCUCUUCUUUCUGUGGCUCAGGGAAGGAAGGGUCGUUUGUGCGGGGCGAUAAGGGGGCAAAUGGCCUCCUCGACGCCCCCGCACACCAUUUAAACCCUCCUAAAGAUCGUGGGGGGAUUCGGUGCACACGAUCCCCACCUCCUUCGAUUAAUGCGGGAGGAUCUAUGCUCCUCAGAACCCAACCGCCGCGGGGUGAUCCGUAGAAGAUCCGCGUGCGCGUGGGCCGAGGAGGCAUAGUGGCGGGACUGAUACGUCUCAAAUGUAUCGACUUUUCCAAACACUUUUGCUAUUGUUUUGGCCUCAUUCUUGCAUGAUUUGAAUGGAACUAACCCGGACUGAUGCUGUUUUCAGCAGAGCUGCCUGUAUGGUUUUCUUGUGUGCAAGAAAAUGGAUAUUUAGACGUCCUGGAAAAUUCCCAGCAAAAAUAGAGAAAAUCCACUCACCGGGAGGGACCAUGGGCCAGAAGAUGGGCCAGAGGGGAGCCACAGCCCCCCCAGGCAACCUGCUGGCGCGGCCUGCCCUCUGGCCGCACCAGGAGGCCGCCUGGGUGGGGCCCACCCCCUUUGGUGCCCUACUCUGGCUCCUAUUUUUACCCGUGACGAGGAAAUUCCAGAAUAGAAGUCGUUUUGCAAGUUCUCAACGCGGAGUCGCCGCCACCCUUGGUUCUUCUUCGGGAGGGCUAAUCACUACUGGAAUCAGAGAAUUUCCCAUAUGUCUGAUCUUUGUCGUCUGCUGGCACAUGGCAAAGAAGCUCUUUGCCGUCAUCUCCCAAAAAACAGACGGCAAAGAGCUGGCUGAUGCCAAAGAUACUCUUUGCCAUUAGUGCAUUCUUUACCGUUGGCUGGCGGACGGUAAAGAUGGACCGGGCUAACGACAAAGCACAGAUUGAUGGCAAAGAUGGUCCAGGCAGACGGCAAAGAAUCACCGCAACUAGAGCCGUCCCCUUUGCCAUCAGGGGCCUAUUUGCCGUCUCCACACACCCCCUUUGUCGUCUGCCUCAAACUCUUUGUUGUCAGCUUGAUUCCCAAGCGAACGGCAAAGAGGACGGCCACUAACGGCUGACAUCCAUCUCCCCACCCCCCAUGUGCCCUCUCCCCCGAUCCCCACUCUCUCUCUCUCACCAAUCCACACCUCUCUGCCUCUCCUCCCCGCAUCGCCACACCACCACCACCGCGUCGCGCCCCUCCCGGCGUCCUCCAACCCCCUCCCCUCCCUCCCCGACCCAAUCCAGAGAUCGAGGUCCUCGAGAGCAAGUCAAGCGGCAGCCAUGGCUCGUCCAGAUCAGCCAGUACCGACAUAGUCGGUCUCCUCUACUCCCAGCGCCGGAUCCACCUCGGGCAGGCUCCAUCUCCACAUCCGGUGACCUCUCCUCCCCACCAUCAUUGCCUCUCCACCCCACCUCCCCAUCUUCUCGAGCAGUUCAGGCGCCGCCCGCAUCCGCCCAAUCUUCCUCCUUCCAGGUUGCUGUGAAGGAGCCACUGUAGUGGGACAACAUCGUACCAAGCACCGCCGGCUGGAUCCGCGUCUAAUCCCCACUCCGGCUGCACCGCUGCCUAAAACCCUAGCCCUCCCACACAUGACCAUGACCAUGGAGAGCCCGCACGAGGUGCAGUAGCUCAUGUCAGGUCCAUUUUCUCCUCUGCUUACUUUUGUUGCGAAUGGGUGGGUGCUUACUUUUAGAAUGUGCCUUACUCUUGAUCUCAAUGUUCCAUGAGAUAGGACUGCAUGUGAGGCUAGAUCUAUAGGCAUCGAUGAUUCUUCUAAUAAGCUAAAAUGGUUUGAAUAAAUCUGGCUGGUUUUUGACUAAAUAUGUUUACAAUUGAUUAGAAAAACAUUUAACUCAUGCUUAUAAUGGUUGGAUUUGGAAGCCUACCAUUCCUCUUAAAAUCAAACUUUACAUGUGGCAAUUGUUUUGUAACGCUAUAGUUACUAGAGUUAAGCUAAAAAGGGAAAUGGGUUGAUAAUCCUAUGUGCUCUUUUUGCAAUGUUCCUGAAGAUGCUCAACAUAUGUUUUUCUAGUUAUGGGAUUGCUAAGUCGGUUUAAGGCGCUAUCAGAAGGGUGAUCGAUACUAAUAUCUAUCCUAGAAACUUGUGGUAGAGUUUUGCUUGGCUCUAUGCUUUCUUGCAUGGUGGGAAAAAUAUUAUAUGGUGUGUGUCGCUACUAUGUGCUGGGGGUUUUGACCCUUAGAAACAAGAUAACAUUUGAGAAUCAUGUUAUGUGUUCCCCUAUGGAGGAUAUCUUCACCAUUUGUUCAUUUAUGUUACUCAGCAGGUCUUUGAAAAGAUGCUCACAAAGAAGUGUUCAAGGGAGUGUGUAGGUGCUAACGAAAUAAGAAACGACACUCGCUCGUGAGAUGAAGCCUAUGACACAUCCAUUUUAUCCUGUGCUACAGUACUUUGCUGUUGCAAUGCAUUCAGAAAUAAAUAAACUUCUUUCCUUGCUUUCCUUACAACAUUCACAAAUUAAAUUGAUUUCAUAUGUUGGGUGGAUGGAACUAGUCUUGUGAUGAUUUCCUCUGUUGCAAAAUGUUUUGUGCUUGCUUGCAUUCACAAAUGGUUGGAUCCUCUGCUAACGUGUACUCGAUGGUCAUGUCUUUUCUUUUACCCAAGCAGCAACUUAACGACGCUCGGGUCUAGCGUGGCACCUAGUUUUAUUCAUGUAUCACUCCUUUGAUUUCCUACAAAUCAUUAUUCUUCUGAUAACUGGGAAAUUAAUAUAUGUACAUGUGUACAUUCUACCUCUUGAGCUUGCAUUGGUUUUUCCCUUGAAGAGGAAAGGGUGAUGCAGCACAGUAGCAGUAAGUAUUUCCCUCGGUUUGAGAACCAAGGUAUCAAUCCAGUAGGAGUAUCAAGCCAAGUCUCCAAAGUACCUGCACAAAAACAGCAAACUUCCACCCAACGCUACAAAGGGGUUUUCAAUCCCUUCACGAUUGAUUGCAAGAUGAGAUCUGAAGGCGGAAAGUGCAACAAAGUAAAAGUGUAGGGCUAAAAUAUGAUGUGAAGUAGACCCGGGGGCCAUAGUGUUCACUAGAGGCUUCUCUCAUGAUAGCAAAUAUUACUGUGGGUGAACGAAUUACUGUCAAGCAAUUGAUAGAACCGCGCAAAUUCAUGAUGAUAUCUAAGGCAAUGAUCAUACAUAUAGGCAUCACAUCCGAGACAAGUAGAUCGAUACUUUCUGCAUCUACUACUAUUAGUCCACACAUCGACCGCUAUCCAGCAUGCAUCUAGUGUAUUGAGUUCAUAACAAACAGAGUAACACCUUAAGCAAGAUGACAUGAUGUAGAGGGAUAAAUUCAUGCAAUAGAUAUAAACCCCAUCUUUUUACCCUUGAUGGCAACAACACGAUGCGUGCCUCGCUACCCCUUCUAUCACUUGGUGAGGACACCGCACGGUAUGAACCCAAAACCGAGCACUUCUCCCAUUGCAAGAACUGUAGAUCAAGUUGGCCAAACAAAACCCACAACUCGAAGAGAAUUACAAGGAUAUGAAAUCAUGCAUAUAAGAGAUCAGAAGAAACUCAAAUAAGAUUCAUAGAUAAUCUGAUCAUAAAUCCACAAUUCAUCGUAUCUCGACAAACACACCACAAAAGAAGAUUACAUCGGAUAGAUCUCCAUGAAGAUCAUGGAGAACUUUGUAUUGAAGAUCCAAGAGAGAGAAGAAGCCAUUUAGCUACUAGCUAUGGACCCGAACGUCUGUGGUAAACUACUCACGCAUCAUCGGAGAGGCCAUGGUGUUGAUAAAGAAGCCCUCCGUGUCUGAAUCCCCCCUCCGACAGGGCACCAAAACGUGCCCCAGAUGGGAUCUUGCAGAGACAGAAGCUUGCGGCCGCGGAAAAGUAUUUUCGUGGAUCUCUCUCGUGGUUUUAGAUUUUUUGGGGAUUUAUAGGCGGAAGAAGUAGGGCAAGGGAGCCACGGGGGCCCACAAGCCUGCUAGGCGGACCCCCCCUCCUCACCCAGGUCGCGGCUAGGUGGCUUGUGGCCUCCCCUGGUGCCCUUUGCCUUGGUUCUCAAGCUCCCUGCGUAUCUUCUGUUCCGGAAAAAAUAUUUUCGGAGGUUUUAUUCCGUUUGGACUCCAUUUAAUAUUCUCCUCUAAAAAAGGUCAAAAACAUGGAAAAAACAGGAACUGACACUUGGCACUGGGUUAAUAAGUUAGUCCCAAAAAAUAUAUAAAAUGCAUACAAAACAUCCAAAGUUUGACAAGAUAAUAGCAUGGAACCAUCAAAAAUUAUAGAUACGUUGGAGACGUACCAAGCAUCCCCAAGCUUAACUCCUGCUCGUCCUCGAGUAGGGAAGUGAUAAAGACUGAAUUUUUGAUGUGGAAUGCUACCUAGCAUAUUUGUCCUUUGUAACUUUUUUCAUGUGACAUGAAUGUUCAGAUCCGUAAGAUUCAAAACAAUAGUUUUCUAUUGACAUGAAAACAAUAAUACUUCAAGCAAACUAGCAAGGUAAUCAUGAACUUUCGAAAUAACAAGGCCAAAUAAAGUUAUCCCUACAAAAUCAUAUAGUCUGGCUAUGCUCCAUCAUCCCCAAACAACGAUUUUAAAUCAUGCACAACCUCGGUAUUGUCCAAGUAAUUGUUUUCACACUCUUACUUUCUCAAACCUUUUUCAACUCUCACGCAAUACAUGAGCGUGAGCCAUGGAUAUAGCACUAUAGGUGGAAUAUAGUGUGGUGGAGGUUGUGAGGCAAAAGGGAGGAGAUGGUCACAUUGGCUCGGCGUAUCAAAGGGCUAUGGAUAUGCCCAUCAAUAGAUAUCAAUGUGAAAGAGUAGGUAUUACCAAGCAACGGAUGCACUUAGAGCUAUAAAUGUGUGAAAGCUCAAAAGGAGAACUAGUGGGUGUGCAUCCAACUUGCUUGCUCACGAAGACCUAGGGCAAUUUUGAGGAAGCCCAUCAUUGGAAUAUACAAUCCAUGUUAUAUAAUGAAAAUUCCCACUAGUAUCUGGUAGUGACAAAACAAGAGACUCUCAAUCAUGAAGAACAUGGUGCUAUUAUGAAGCACAAGUGUGGAAAAAGAUAGUAGCAUUGUCCCUUCUCUCUUUUUCUCUCUCUUUUUUGGGCUCUUCGGCCUCUUUUUCAUAUAUUUUUUGGUGGGCAACUUUGGCCUAUUUUCAUUUUUCCUCACAUGGGACAAUGCUCUAAUAAUGAUGAUCAUCACACUUUUAUUUACUCACAGCUCAAUGCUUAGGACAAUGAUGACUAUAGGAAAUGCCUCGUGUAGUGUACCAGGAUGUGCAACGAUCUAGCUUAGCGUAUGACUCACUAGCUAUCUUACGAUCAUGCAAUGGCAAUAUAAAAGUGAUGGCACAUGUCAUGAGACGAAACGGUGGGAGUUGCAUGGCAAUAUAUCUCAGAAUGGCUAUGAAAAGGCCAUGAUAGGUAGGUAUGGUGGCUGUUUUGAGGAAGGUCUAUGGUGGUUUUAUGUACCGGCUAAAGUUGCGCGGCACUAGAGAGGCUAGCAAUGGUGGAAGGUGAAAGUGCAUCUAUACAAUGGACUCACAUUAGUCAUGAAGAACUCACAUACUUAUUGUGGAAGUUUUUAUUAGUAAUCGAAACAAAGUGUUAAACGCAUACUCCUGGGGGAAGGGUUGGUAGGUGUUAACCAUCGUGCGAUCCCGACCGCAACACAAAGGAUGACAAUCAAUAAAUCAAUUAUGCUCCGACUUCCUAACAUAGCGAUUCACCAUACGUGCAUGUUACGGGAAUCACUAACUUCAACACAAGUAUUGCUAGAUUCGCAACACCCUACUAACAUGACUCUUAAUAUUACCAAAUCCAUGUCUCAAAACUAAUUGAGAGGAAUCAAACUUCUCUUUCUAAUCAAUGCACAUGAAUAUGGAAGUUUUAUUGUAUCCUCUUUGGAUGCCUAUCAACUUUAGGACUACUUUCAUAGCACAAGCCAACUACCAAGUUACUCAGAGAGAGCACUCUCAAAAAGAUAUAAGUGAAGAUCGAGAGUUCUUAUUUCUCCAAGAUAUGACACCGUCAUGCUCUAAAAUAUAUAAGUGAAGCACUUAGAGCAAAGUUAUCUAUCUCAAAAUAUAUAAGUGAAGCACAUGUGAGCUAAAUUGCCUAACUCAAAAGAUGUAAGCGAAGCUCAAUGAGUAUUCUAGCAAAUUUACGAUGAGUGCAUGUCUCUCUCAAAAGGUGUGCAGCAAGGAUGAUUGUGACACAACAAAAAUAAAAUACUCCUAUAAUACACGACGCUCCAAGCAAAACACAUAUCAUGUGGUGAAUAAAAAUAUAGCUCCAAGUAAUGUUACCGAUGGAUUGAAGACGAAAGAGGGGAUGCCUUCCCGGGGCAUCCCCAAGCUUAGGCUUUUUGGUGUCCUUGAAUUUGGCUUGGGAUGCCUUGGGCAUCCCCAAUCUUGAUCUCUUUACACUCUUUAUCCCAUUGUCCAUGAGAACAUCACCCAAAACUUGAAAACUUCACAACACAAAACUUAAACAGAAACUGGUGAUAUCAUUAGCACAAGAAAACAAACUACCACCUAUUUAGGUACUGUAGCAAACUUGAUUUCUAUUUAUAUUGGUGUUAUAUUACUGUAUUCUCACUUUUCCAUGGCUAGUACCCCCAAUACUAUCCAUAGUUUCAUCAAAAUAAGCAAUCAACAUAACAAAAACAGAAUCUGUCAAAAACAGACCAGUCUGUAGCAAUCUGUAUACUUCGUAUACUUCUGGUAUCUCAAAAAUUCUGAACAAUUAUUAAAAUUUGGGAAAUUGGCAUAUGAAACAGCAGCAAAAAUAAUCAACUCAAAAGCUCUUUCUGAAUAAAAAUGAAAGGGGGGGGGGGGGGGGAUAAUUUCGUGAGCGAAAAGUUUCUGUCUUUUUCAGCAAGAUCAAACAACCAUCACCAAAACUAGUCAUAAAGGUUUUACUUGGCUCAAACACAAAAAGAAACACAAAAAACACAAUCAUAACAGAACUAUGAUGGUGUGGACACAACAAAACAGAAUUAUGAUGGUGUGGACACAACAAAACAGAAAGCAAAAACCAAAGAUAAAUUCAUUGGGUUGCCUCCCAACAAGCGCUAUUGUUUAACGCCCUUAGCUAGGCAUAAGGCGAUAGAAUCACGUAUCGUUGUCUUUGGUACUCAAACCAUAAGUAGCCAUCAUCAUGGAUUCAUAAGGCAAUCUUAUUUUCUUUCUAGGAAAAUGUUCCAUGCCCUUCUUUAAUGGAAAUUGAAAUCUAAUAUUCCCUUCCUUCAUAUCGAUGACAGCACCAAUAGUCCUUAGGAAAGGUCUACCAAGAAUGAUAGGACAUGUUGGAUUGCAAUCAAUAUCAAGCACAAUGAAAUCUACGGGUACAUAGUUCCUAUUUGCAAUAAUAAGAACGUGAUUGAUCCUUCCCAUAGGUUUCUUAACAGUAGAAUCCGCAAGAUGCAAAUUAAGAGAGCUCUCAUCAAUCUCAUUGAAGCCUAGAACAUCACAUAAAGACUUUGGAAUAGCGGAAACACUAGCACCCAAAUCACACAAAGCAUUGCAUUCAUAGUUUUUGAUCUUGAUUUUGAUAGUAGAUUCCCACUCAUCAUGAAGUUUUCUAGGAAUAGGAACUUCCAAUUCAAGUUAUUCUUCAAGAGAUUUCAUCAUAGCAUCGACGAUAUGAUCGGUAAAGGCCUUGUUUUGGAUAUAAGCAUGUGGAGAGUUUAGCAUGGAUUGCAUCAAGGAAAUACAUUCAAUCAAAGAGAAACUAUCAUAAUUGAAUUCCUUGAAAUCCAAAGUAGUAGUUUCAUUACUACUCAAAGUUUUGAUAUCCUCUACUCCACUUCCAAUGUUUUUAGCAUCAAGAUAGAUAGACUCCGAAUCAUUGGGGCGUUUUUCAACCAAAGUGGAUUCAUAUCCAGCCCCAUCAUCAUUAGGUUUGACACUAUAAAACAAGGAUUCAAUGGGAGUCACACCAAGCACUUUAAGAUCUUCGUGAUUCUCAUCACGACAACACGCCUUUUUAACCCACUCAUGUCUAGCACGAAUUUGGGCGGUUGUUUCUUUACUCUCAUUCAUGGAAACAUGCAUAGCUUUCAAAGUUUCAUCAAUAUUGAUCUUGGGAGGAGCACAUCUCAAUUUCAAAGCAUCAAUAUCAAGAGACAUUCUAUCAACGCUCCUAGACAAAUCAUCAAUUUUGAGCAGUUUUCAUUCUAUGGAUGCAUUGAAAAUCUUUUGCAAGUUGAUAAACUCUUUAAUAUUACUCUCUAGAUCAGAGGGUAAUUUAUUGUAAUUUCCAUGAGCAUUGUUGUAGGAAUUGCCAAAGUUAUUAGAGGGAUUACUAGGAAAAGGCCUAGGAAUAUAGUUUCCUCUAAAAGCAUUGUUAUUGCCAAAAUUAUUCCUACCAACAAAAUUAACAUCCAAGCUCUCAUUGCUACUCUCAAUAAAAGAAGACAAGGGCAUGUCAUUUGGAUCUAAAGGAGCACCUUUACUAGCAAACAAUUUCAUUAACUCAUCCAUCUUAGCACUCAAAGAGUUAAUUUCUUCUAUAGCGUGCACUUUUUUACUAGUAGGUGUCCUUUCAGUGUGCCACUGAGAAUAGUUUGUCAUGAUAUUUUCUAGGAGUUUUGUGGCUUCUCCUAAAGUGAUUUCCAUGAAAGUUCCACUGGAGGCGGAGUCCAAGAUAUUUCUAGAAGUAAAAUUCAAACUAGCAUAGAAGAUUUGUAUAAUCAUCCAAAGACUCAAGCCAUGAGAGGGACAAUGUCUAAUCAUCAAUUUCAUUCUCUCCCAAGAUUGUGCAACAUGUUCAUGAUAUAGUUGCUUAAAAUUCAUGAUAUCAUUACGGAGAGAGAUAAUCUUAGCCGAUGGAAAAUACUUGGAUAUAUAAGCAUCUUUGCACUUGUUCCAAGAAUCAAUGCUAUUUUUGGGCAAAGAUGAAAACCAAGUUUUUGCUCGAUCUCGCAAUGAGAACGGAAAUAGCUUCAAUUUAAUCACAUCAUUAUCCACAUCUUUCUUCUUUUGCAUAUCGCAUAACUCAAUGAAGGUAUUAAGAUGGGAUGCGACAUCUUCACUAGGAAGGCCGGAGAAUUGCUCUUUCAUAACAAGAUUCAGCAAAGCAGCAUUGAUUUCAUAUGAUUCCGCACUAGUGGCGGGAGCAAUCGAAGUACUAAUAAAAUCAUUAUUAUUAGUAUUCGAGAAGUCACAAAGUUUGGUGUUUUCAGUCAUGGUGACUUCAGCAAGCAGACAAGCACACAAGCGAACAGAAAGCAAGCGAAAGAAAAGGGCGAACGAAAAAGGAAAAUAUUUUUGUAAAUUUUUGUUUUUCAGAAGUGGGGGAGAGGAAAACGAGAGGCAAAAAAGUAAAGUGCAAGAGAUGAGUUUGCGACAGUUACUUGGAUAAGCUUCACUUAGAAUGAUCCCCGGUGCCAGAGAUUGACAUGUUGGAGGAAUACUAUUCUUGACUUGAUGCUCCUCGACAACGGCGCCAGAAAUUCUUCUUGCUACCUCUUGAGCUUGCGUUGGUUUUUCCCUUGAAGAGGAAAGGGAGAUGCAGCACAGUAGCAGUAAGUAUUUCCCUCAGUUUGAGAACCAAGGUAUCAAUCCAGUAGGAGUAUCAAGCCAAGUCUCCAAAGUACCUGCGCAAAAACAGCAAAUUUUCACCCAACGCUACAAAGGGGUUGUCAAUCCCUUCACGAUUGAUUGCAAGGUGAGAUCUGAAGGCGGAAAGUGCAAUAAAGUAGAAGUGUAGGGCUGAAAAUAUGAUGUGAAGUAGACCCGGGGGCCAUAGUGUUCACUAGAGGCUUCUCUCAUGAUAGCAAAUAUUACGGUGGGUGAACGAAUUACUGUCGAGCAAUUGAUAGAACCGCGCAAAGUCAUGACGAUAUAUAAGGCAAUGAUCAUACAUAUAGGCAUCACGUCCGAGACAAGUAGAUCGAUACUUUCUACAUCUACUACUAUUACUCCACACAUCGAUCGCUAUCCAACAUGCAUCUAGUGUAUUGAGUUCAUAACAAACAGAGUAACGCCUUAAGCAAGAUGACAUGAUGUAGAGGGAUAAAUUCAUGCAAUAGAUAUAAACCCCAUAUUUUUACCCUUGAUGGCAACAACACGAUGUGUGCCUCGCUACCCCUUCUAUCACUGGGUGAGGACACCGCACGGUAUGAACCCAAAACCAAGCACUUCUCCCAUUGCAAGAACUGUAGAUCAAGUUGGCCAAACGAAACCCAUAACUCGAAGAGAAUUACAAGGAUAUGAAAUCAUGCAUAUAAGAGAUUAGAAGAAACUCAAAUAAGAUUCAUAGAUAAUCUGAUCAUAAAUCCACAAUUCAUCGGAUCUCAACAAACACACCGCAAAAGAAGAUUACAUCGGAUAGAUCUCCAUGAAGAUCAUGGAGAACUUUGUAUUGAAGAUCCAAGAGAGAGAAGAAGCCAUCUAGCUACUAGCUAUGGACCCGAAGGUCUGUGGUAAACUACUCAUGCAUCAUCGGAGAGGCCAUGGUGUUGAUGAAGAAGCCCUCCGUGUCCGAAUCCCCCCUCCGGCAGGGCACCAGAACGUGCCCCAGAUGGGAUCUUGCGGAGACAGAAGCUUGCGGCGGCGGAAAAGUAUUUCCGUGGCUCUCUCUCAUGGUUUCAGAUUUUUCGGGGAUUUAUAGGCGGAAGAAGUAGGGAAAGGGAGGCACGGGGGCCCACAAGCCUGCUAGGCGCCCCCCCCCCAGGCCGCGUCUAGGGGGCUUGUGGCCUCCCAUGGUGCCCUUUGACUUGGUUCUCAAGCUCCCUACGUAUCUUCUGUUCCGGAAAAAAAUCUUUUCGGAGGUUUUAUUCCGUUUGGACUCUGUUUAAUAUUCUCCUUUGAAAAAGGUCAAAAACACAGAAAAAACAGGAACUGGCACCUGGCACUAAGUUAAUAAGUUAGUCCCAAAAAAGAUAUAAAAUGCAUACAAAACAUCCAAAGUUUGACAAGAUAAUAGCAUGGAACCAUAAAAAAUUAUAGAUACAUUGGAGACGUAUCAGUACACUGUCAAACAACCUACUUAAUUAUAAAGAACCAACUUAUAAAGAAAUGCAUGUGUAGAAAACUUACAGUGUAGCUAUUUGUUGACUGCAUGCAUUCAGGAAUUAAUUUGAUUUCUUGUACUAGUUUCCUUGAUUAUAGAUUGUAAACUAAGACCUUUCCCCAUUUGUGAAACGGCAUUUGGUUUAUUAUUUUUAAAAGAAGGUGAACUCUUUCUCAUCACCUUGUGGUUUCUGCAUUUUCGGUAACAAGGUAAGAGCAGCCGCCCACUGGGCCCUUUGUUUCCCCCUUGUAUGCCUCGAGUAAACAAAACUAAGGUGAAGACUGGGCACGGGAUGCCUGGAUCAUCGUCACCUCGCAGCAAGAAGACAAGGUAAAUAUAACAGGUUUCUAGCAUCCCUUGUUGUGGAAACUAUGAGAUCCCUCCCUCUUUUGUUCUCCAUUUGUGGAACUACAUCUGGUUUUGUCUUAAAAAAUGUGAAUCCUCUUAUAUUAUUCUAUUUAUCAUGUGUGUGUGUGCAUGCCCCUUUCUCUUUACCUUGUUCUUGCAUUUAUUUGAAAAUUAUAGCUUGAUCCAGGACUUGGCACAAUAAUUUGUAACUCAACUUCAGAUAUUAAUCAUAUACAGCUGCAUUGAUCUGACUAAUCUAUUUGCUUUCUUCAUAGAUGUCAAAACUCAAAAGCAUUUGUAUGUAUCUAAGGAUUGUUUGUAAGUUAGCUCUAGUACAAAUCGAAUCCAGUGAGGCUUAUACUUAAUUCAGAACUUUGCAUGGCAGUAACUGAGUUUUAGUUAUUAAUCAUAUAUAGCUGCAUCGGCUCAUAUAUAUAAUAUAUUUGGUGUCUAUGUAGCACCUAAUAUAUAUGAGAUAUGCCCUCAAGUAUCAGCGUGUUAACUUUUUAUUUGGCAUCUAGCACCUAAUAUCUCAAGGCAGUUUCCCCAUUAGUGAAUCUGCCUUUGGUUUAUUUUGGAAAGAAGGUGCCUCUUACUUAUCACCUCAUGAGUUUUGCAUCUUAGGUAACAAGGGAAGAGCAGUCCCGCAUGGAGCCUUUGGUCUCCCCCUUGUAUGCCUAUGGAAAACAAAGUUGAGGACUGGACAGGGGAUGCCUUUGUCAUCAUCACUUCCCAGCAAAAAGACAAGGAAUGUAAAUAUAUUGGGCUUCUAGCAGCCCCUCUUGUGGAAAUUAUGAGGUCCCUCAUUGUUUAUUUCUCCAUUGGUAGAACUGCAUUUGGUUUAGUGAAGGAAAUGCUUACCUAUUGGUGUAGUGUUUGUUAUGCUCUGUAUAGGUAGAAGAAGUGAUAAUUAGUUGUAGAUAUUUUGCAUGAGGGGUCCUCGCUCUAAAACUAGUGCCUUUUCCCCAUCAGUCUUGAUUAGAUUUGGAGUGGUUGGGAAACCAAUUAGCACAGAUUCUCAACCCCAUGUUCACACACACAGAAAGCAUAUAUAAGAGAAGAUUGACAUGAAUGAGAAGUAACACAAAGAACGCAAGGCAUUAUAUUGUCCUUUACUCUUUUCUGAAUGUGGGUUAUGUAAACCGUUGUGUGAGAAAUAUGAGAAACAAUUAUCCUCAAAAAGACAAUGACUUUGUCACAUUCAUCGGACAACCCCAUAUUUUCGCUCACUUUCUUAGCUACCUAAGUAGUCGUGAAUAUUAACGAGUUAAUCUUUUUAAGGCAUACCAUCACAAUCCUAUCCAUGAAUAAACUAGGUGUAUUUUUGUUUGAGAAGACUAGUGGACAUAUAUUAAGUACUACCAACCCUUAUAAAAAUAUCAUUACAAAGAAUGAAGAAUACACCUAAAUUAUUUGAGGAGUUGGAGUCUUGUUUCUCUUACAUCCAUUCUGGUGAGCAAAGCUCGUUGCCACACCUCGAUGACUGUCUCAGCGAAGCAAGGGCGAUUUGCGCCUAGAAGCGGAUGCAUUUCUAACUAACUAGUAACAGUGCGCGUGCAACACAUGUGUAAUCAAACGAACAUGAAAUUCAAGUGAGUAUAAAAUUUUGAAAAAAAUAAAAGAGAAUAGUAAAGGGAAAAUACACACCCAUAAAUUCUAUUUUGGGGAUGUCCUGUGAAAUUCGAGCACAGAAAGAAGAAACCAUAACUCGUAUAUGUCAUAGAUGAAAGACAAUCGACUUGAUGAACAACUUAUCCAUAGAGAAGAUAGUGGCAUAGCCCAUUUUGUCUAUUGUAUUCUAAAAAUGCAAUCAAACGUCCGAUGAAGAUUUUAAAAUGACUAUUUAUGUUGGGUGAACUUUGGAAGGAACAUAUAAACAUUGUCCAAGUGAACAUGAUGGAGAUGCAAACUUGGAGCAAAGAUACAAAAAUAAAUCAGUCUUGGAAAAAAUUAAUUAGUUCAUUCUUGGAUUCAAGUUGCUUGUCAUCUUCAUAUGUUGAAGGCCCGGUGAUGGAGGUAAGUCCACCCAUGGGAGUCACAGUAGGCACCACCUGCGAGCUGGAAGAGUAUGUCGGUAUUCAAGGCAGUUUUUCCCCCACUCACUUUCUUCCAGCUUCUCCUAAAAAGUGGAACUACGGUUCAGAGAGAUGCUUGUUACAUAUAUAGCUGUAGAACGUGUAGAAGUCAAAAACAAAUCGAUAAAUCAUUAGAUUGAUAAUAAGAAAAUGCAGAGGGAAUUUAACAUUUUCUGCAUGAGAUAGAUGACAUGCAUGCCAAACAUUUCAUAAACCGGCUUAGUUCUGGCAAGAUUAAAAAUGAGCUAAAGAUGUUACCGUGCUAUCAACAUAUUAGCAAUGGAUAAAGUUUAUUACUCUAGAAUGGCAAACUGUACAAAUAAGGAAUUGGACCUUAGCAGAUUAGUUUCUAUAAUAAUUGUUGUUUCGCAAAGCUAACAAGCAAAGAGAAAAGGUAUUCAUUUGGAACAGCAUGCAUCUUAUUUAUGUGCUAAAUUUUUGUGCCAUAUUCAAUAAACACUUCCACGGUAUGCAACACAGUUUUAAAAUUAUAGGAAGAUAUUCUAGACUACGAAAACAUAACUGACAGACAACAAAAACAGAAAAAGCGAAUAGUUAAGACGACUAAGGUGGAAUACAAACAAGAAUUGCCUUUUGUGACCUCUAGUUAAAAAUAUGAGUUUGAAUCCUAAAGAUUUGAAGGACCAUGCACUCUCUUGGGACAUCGAUGCAUGACUUAGUACUUUGUAUGAAAUAAACACCUAUAUCAUGAAAGUACAAUCUACACAUGGAAAUAUGUGAAAUCCUCUACAAUAGGAAACAUACUCUAGUACUUCAGACAUGAUCUGACGAAAAGAAGAAAAUGUUCAAAGUUAUCGGUUCAUUGCGAAUCCGAUGAAGAACAAAAUAGUUGAGAGAAACUAUUCAGCAAUCAACAUGAUGCUCAUUAUUAGAGGUAAAGUAAUUACAUUUAAUCCAUGUAACUUUAAGAAGAGAGAUGCUGCAAAGCUCUCUAGAAGGCGCUUGGAAUGGAAUCAAUUGCAGUAGCACUUGCAUAAGAAAUGAUGCACUAACAUUUCUUGAAGGUUUCCUGCUACUUAUUAUUCACACUAACGAAAUUCAAAUAAAGACCAUAAAAAACAAUUCUAACAGUCUAGUUGGUUGUAGAGGAUUUUCCACAUGUAAUACUUUCCUGAAUGUCAAAUCUCGGCUAUGUUGGUUCCUCUUUAGUAGGCAAUUCUAAUUAAUUACGUGUUUGUCAAGUCUCGAUCCUAGAAACUUCAAAUCUAUGGUUCAGGAAAGUCUGCGAUUUACUUUUACUGAAUGAUAUGUUAUCUAUUAAUCUCCACCGAUCUUAUGGUUGAUAUGAACGAAAUUGAGGAAAGCAAAAUCAACUUAAAUUUUAGUAUGCACUGGACACCACCAGCCCAAUUUACAGGAAGGAUAGCUAGAUAGCUAGAAAUGUUUUUCACCUCCACUAAUAUAGAACAAUAUGACUCCAAACUGAGGAGGCGGAGGGGGUCUGCAUUACCAGAAUUUGUGAACCAUUAAUAUGAUAGAAACCUGAAGUCCAUCCUUCAUUGUUCCUUUGUAGACUACAGUCUCGAGAAUUGAGCCAAUUAUGUUGCUAAAAUUCUGACACACUACUUCAAGUUCCUCGCAACUCAACUUUUGCAAACUUUUAAGCAUAUCAGAAUCCGAGGAAAGCAUGAGCACGUUAGCAAUAAUAUAUGUUAUACAAAAUAAUCAAUUUAUUUUAUAAAGUUAAUACCAACCAAUAAGUAUUGUUANNNNNNNNNNNNNNNNNNNNNNNNNNGGCGACCGUGCGGAGCGAAGGUGCGGGCGGGGUGCGACGCAGUUACGAAGAGGACGUGCGAGGUGCUAGGAAGGGUUUUUUUUUAUAGGUAGGAGGAAGGAUUAGCGUUAACCGAGAUUUUGUUAUUUCAUUAACGAAGUAUUUAGAUCGUUGAUUACGUGAUUGGAGGGUCAGAUUUAUAUUUGAAUCUGCCCUUUCUUCCUUUUUAGUGAUAGUAGUGAAAAUGCUACACUUACAUACACUGUUACAUAAGCUUACAAAACCUUCCUCUCACGUAUUAAACACGUCCCCCCUGAUUUUCAGGGUGGGCCCGCGCCCCCACUAAGCUCAGUUAAAUAUUGACACCUCAUAAUUAACACGUAAACUCACGUAAGCUUACGUGGAUGUAGCAAAGCUCGUGAUAGUAGAUACAGUAGUAGAUAAAAAUCGGAUGCACUGACAUAAUAAAAUAGAGAAAUUUGCAUAUCCACAUGAAUCAGAUGACCACAACAAAUGUAGAGUAGUAGAUGGUCACAACUCACAACAAAAGAAAGGAAAAAACGGUAGUCUGAACUGAAUUGCCACCCUACUUACCGCAGUUCAGUUUUUAUACGGUGCUCGUCGGCGGGAACCUGCGCGUGGCAGAUCGCCGAAACUAGAGCGAGCGUGCGACGGCGUCCAGCACCGUCUCGACCGCGCGCCUCCNNNNNNNNNNNNNNNNNNNNNNNNNNNNNNNNNNNNNNNNNNNNNNNNNNNNNNNNNNNNNNNNNNNNNNNNNNNNNNNNNNNNNNNNNNNNNNNNNNNNNNNNNNNNNNNNNNNNNNNNNNNNNNNNNNNNNNNNNNNNNNNNNNNNNNNNNNNNNNNNNNNNNNNNNNNNNNNNNNNNNNNNNNNNNNNNNNNNNNNNNNNNNNNNNNNNNNNNNNNNNNNNNNNNNNNNNNNNNNNNNNNNNNNNNNNNNNNNNNNNNNNNNNNNNNNNNNNNNNNNNNNNNNNNNNNNNNNNNNNNNNNNNNNNNNNNNNNNNNNNNNNNNNNNNNNNNNNNNNNNNNNNNNNNNNNNNNNNNNNNNNNNNNNNNNNNNNNNNNNNNNNNNNNNNNNNNNNNNNNNNNNNNNNNNNNNNNNNNNNNNNNNNNNNNNNNNNNNNNNNGGCGCGGCCGACCCUCGCGCCGCCCAGAAGCUGCUCGACGAAAUGCCCCGGUGGGGGCUCGCACCUAGCUCCCUCGCGCGCACCUUCCUCGUCAAGGCCUUCCUCCGCAGCCGCGACGUCGGCGCGGCCAUGGACCUCGUCGACAGCCAACUCUGGACCAGCAUGGAGCGCUGCCAUGAUGAGGACCAGGGGCUCAAGAACGCCGCGUUCGCCAACCUUGUGCAGUGUCUGUGCGGCGAGGGGUUCUUCCACAUUGUCUUUCGCGUCGCGGAGGAGAUGCCACAGCGGCGCUGCCUUGUCCCAGACGAGUUUGCCUAUGCCCAGAUGAUCGACUCUCUCUGCCGGGCUGGACAGCACCAUGGCGCCUCCAGAAUAGUGUACGUCAUGGGGAAGAGGGGCCUGCGCCCAAGCACCCUGUCCUACAACUGCAUUGUUCACGGGCUAUGCACCAGCCAGAAGCCCGGGGGACGCCUGAGGGCGUACCAGUUGGUGAUGGAAGGUGUGCGUUCCGGGUACCGGCCGAGAGAGGUAACAUACAAGGUACUCGUUGAAGAGCUCUGCCGGGAGAAAGAGCUUGCCAAGGCCAAGGAUAUCCUAGAGCUCAUGCUGCAACCCCAAUGUGGGCAUGACAAGGCUGACAUGGAGACCAGGACUAGGCUAUACAAUAUGUUCCUUGGGGCACUGCGUGCUGUGGACAACCCAAGCGAGCAGCUCAGUGUGCUCGUGUCCAUGUUGCAGGGGGAUUGUAAACCGGAUGUGAUCACUAUGAACACUGUCGUUCAUGGCUUCUGCAAAGUUGGGCGGACCCAGGAGGCUAGAAAGAUUUUGGACGACAUGAUUAACGGGAAGUUCUGUGCUCCUGAUGUUGUCACCUUCACCACCCUCAUUUCUGGAUACCUGGAUGUAGGUGAGCAUGCAGAAGCCCUCCAUGUGCUGCACACUUUGAUGCCUAGGCGCCGAUGUGCGCCUAAUGUCGUCACUUAUAAUUCUGUCCUCAAGGGAUUGUUCUGCCUUGGGCUAGUUGACAGAGCAAUGCAGGUCCUCGACGAAAUGAAAUUAAGUAGCAUCACUGCCGACUCUGUGAGUCACACUGUGGUGAUCAAAGGGUUGUGCGACGCGGGACAACUCGAGGAAGCAAAGGCGUUCUGGGACAAUGUAGUCUGGCCAUCAGGGAUACAUGAUGGUUAUGUGUACAGUGCAAUCUUGAGAGGCCUCUGCAAGCUGGGGAAACUGGAGCAGGCAUGCGAUUUCCUGUAUGAGUUGGCAGACUCUGGGGUUUGUCCCAGUGUUGUCUGCUACAACAUACUCAUUGACACUGCCUGCAAGCAGGGAUCGAAGAAGUUGGCCUAUCAAUUGGUGAAGGAGAUGAGAAGGAAUGGCCUUUCACCGGACGCUGUCACUUGGAGAAUUCUUGAGAAAUUGCACCUUUACGGCAAUGAAGAACAAGGGGAGGAGCACCAAGUCCCCACUUUUCAUGUCGAUCAAAGUUCUGCAGAUGACCAAGUAGAGCCUCUCGUCUCGACAAAAAAUGAGAUACCUUCGUUGUCAUCGUCUGAACAUUUGGGUGAAAUAUACAAGAAUAACAACGAAGCUAAGGUUGAAGAAACUGGAAGGUCACCAGAAAUGACUGAGAACCCAUCAGAUCUUACUGAGACAGCAAAAGAGCAGAACUAUCUGAUAGACAAUUCAGUGGUUGGACCUACAAUGGACAAGGAUCAUACAAUCAGUGAUGAUGGCUUCAACAAGCAGGAUAAGCAACCUCUAAGAGAAUCACUUUCUGGAGUAGCCAGAAGGGUUUUUGGCUUGCUCUAGAACAAGAACAAGUGUUGCUGGUUAGAAGGGGCACAUACUUUUCAAAAAAAAGAAGGGGCACAUAUUAGAACAUAGUGCAAUGAAGGCUAAAUUUUUAUUGUUAUUUUGGACCUGUCAAUGAAGGCCGAGUUAGUGACAACGGCAAAGCUGGUAACCUGUCCACCUAUUGGAGAAUAAGGCUUGAGCUUGACUGACAUGACUGAUUUUUGGCUGCACUUGACAUAAGCUUGUCGAUAACCAAUCUGACAUGUUUUAUAAGUGCAUCUCUACUCAGUACUCACCCAACAACUAAAUCCAUAAUUUUGCAGAAAUCGAUGGAGAGUAAAGAACACUGCAUGCAGUGUCUUCAGGUUGCUCAAGUUUUGCAAUUGCUCGCCACUGUCAGGUCUUGUUGUGUUGUGAUGCAUAUGAAGAUACUUGGGAGCAUGCUCUACUUUAUUCUACAAUGUCUAAGUGCACCUGGGCUUUUUUUGAUGAAGAUCUCAUGGAGAUGCUUGCAAGCCUGUGAAUCACUGAUCCAGUCCAUAUAUGUAACAGCAUGUCACAAGGUGAGACGGCCAAGGUACUUAUCACUUCAUGGGCGGUAUUGUUGGCGCGUCUCAAGGUAUUGAGAGCGUUUUGACAAGGACUGAUGUUACUGUCGGACUUGUUAACUGUAUGCUGCUGGCCUGGAGUUCAUCUAUGAAGAGCGGUUUGCUUCUGGUGAUGGCGGAGCUGUAAAACACGGGAUUAGGGGAUGGAUCUUGCUGGGUCCAGGGGAGGUGAUACUGAACACUGACAUUGCUCUUCUCUGAGGCAAUUCCAUGGCAGCGGACACAGCUGUCUGCCGUGAUCAAAAGAGCCUGAUAUAAUGGAAACUAUGGCGAGCGCAGAUGUUUUGAUUGUAUUAAGGUGGCUUCAGAUUGCUAAUUCCAUCAACAACUUUGUAGGAGACGAACAGGUGCUCUUACAUGAUGUUCAUCCAAGACGAAGAAUCGCGCACAGAUUGGACACGGUAGGUAGGGAUGCAGAGGUAGCAGCUCACAGCUCAGCAUUGCUCGCUUGUACUCUGGGUGUUGAUGGCCAAUAUAUGGAAGGUAAUAACCUGCGGUUUAAUGCUGGAUGAUGUACAUUUUUAGUAAGUAUUGAAAACGGAAAAAAUAUAUAGGCACCAAAUUGCUCCAUGCCCAUGGAGGGUUUAGCCGCCGCCACACAUCAUCCAGCAUCAGUCGGAAAUGAGGACGCAGAUCUGGGGGGCAGGUCGCAUGAGCAAGCAAAACCAUUGUAACCUUGCUGGUUCCUUGCGAUGCUGUGGGGGAGAUCAUCCUUUGCGUAAACACGGCCACGACGAGGAAUGGUCAGUUCAAAAUUCCCCGUCCUCUAUCCUACUUUCUUCUGUUUUUCUAUUUCUGAUGAUUAUCCUUGUGCCGGCAGGCGAGAUUGGCCGAACCUGCCUACGGUGCUCCUUGACGAUAUCGUCGGUCGGCUUCUCCUCUACGACGUGGCCGAGUACAUCCGCCUCCGUGCUGCGUGCAAGGAAUGGAGGAACUGCACCGAUGAUCCGCGCAUGGGAGGCGGCCUGGACUGCCGCUUCCGCCCCCGCCGCUGGAUCAUGCUGUCCAACCGCACCAAGGGCGAUGGCCGUCGCUUUCUCAACCUCUCCACCGGUGCCAGCGCUUGUGUCAAUCUCCCGGAGCUCUCCCGCCACCACCUUGAGACCAGCACCGAGGGCCUCCUGCUCCUGCGUGGCAAGGCGAGCCACACUGUUCGCCUCUUCAACCCGCUCAACAGGGCCUUCACCAACCUCCCGCCCAUCACCCCGGACCUCGGCAGAGCGUACAUUGUCUGGACGGGGCUGUUGGAGUCUUCGGAGCGCCUCAUCUAUGCCGGCAUCUCUGAAGAGACCUCCCCAGCGUCGGUCGUGCUCCUGAUGAUUGACCAGGGGCGUGCCAUAGUCUACGCCAAGCCUGGCGACCAGCGGUGGGCUGUGAUUGAGCAUGACGAGAUCGGGAGACUCGAUCGCUACUCAUCAUAUCGGUUAUCGUCGGCUUCAACCCUGCAGGGGCGCUUCUACUUUGCGACUCUUGAGGGGAAUAUAAUGCAUGUGAGGCUCUGUCCUGAGCCUCGGUUGGUGCCUGUAGUCGUGAACCAGCCCAAAACCAGGGGUCAUGUGUCCUCCUACCUUGUCCCUCCCGACGACCACCGCUGCGGCAGCAUGCUCAUGGUGCGCUACUACCUCGACCUUGAUCACCUCAGCGCUAACGAGCGGAGAAUCAUUACGCGCAGGAGGAAGCGCAUGGAUGUGAUCAGGGUGGGGAACAGGUUGAAGGAGUGUCAGUGGAACCUGAUCCAGGUGUUUGAGGUGAAUGUGGCCAGAAAAAGGCUCGUCCCGGUGGAGGACAUUGGCCGCCACCGCGCGGUGUUUGUCGGGGAGGCGGCAUGCUUUUCCCUCUCUGCCAGGACGUUUCCGUGCGUGGCGGGGAACGCGGUGCACCUGGGGGCGACUGGUGCCCGCUACCCUCCCGUCGGAGUGCGGUAUCUGGCGGACAAGAGUGCGGAUCCACCGUUUGAAUUCACCACUGACGGGCCAGCUUCUCCUGAUGAACCACUGAAAUGGUACCACCGACAUAACAGACCGGAGCUGAAUCUUUUUCUUGACACUGGAUCAGAGCUGAAUCUAGUGCCUCUUGCUCGCCCCUGUACCCUGCAAGAGUACCUCGUAUGUUGCGCAGGCCUCCCUGGCGGCCUCAAGGACUGAUCAAAUCCUGAGCGAGUUAGGUAUGUCGUUCUUGGAUUGUGUGUUCUUGAGAAGUUUAAACAUCAGUGCUAUAGCUCCUCGAUUCAUUUCUCCCUUGUGUUGCCGCAAAAAAUUAUGAAAGAUGGGCAAUGAAGUCUAGAAUUAUGCAAUAGCAGUUGUUACCUCUAAAGUUUAAGCUGAUGUGUUCUUCAAAUACUUGCCUCGGUUAAUUUCUCACUUGUGUUGCUCCAGGAAAUUCUGAAAGAUGAGCAUACAAUCCAGUGUAGGAUUAUUUAUACAAGACCGCUUGUUUUUUUUUCCUCCAAAUUUUAAAUGAUGUGUUAUUUGAAAUACUAUAUGAUUCUGAGGAUAUAUAGAAAUUGCAUAAGAACCUAUGGUGCUAAUCCAUAGAGCAGGAACCAAAACCUACAUCAGGAUAUAACUUUUAGCUUUUGUGUGAACUCCAUGCACAUCUUUGUCUGUAAGCAACAAUUGUGCAAUGACUAAAGAACGAUAUGCGUGCAAUUUUUUGAGCUCCUCGGGAGCAACUGUUGGGUGAGACAUGAACAUGUAGGAACAUACAAAACUUAAGAAGCCUAACACCAAUACACAGAGGAACUGAAAUGGAUAAAACUCAAGCAGGAAUUUGACAACCAUAAAACCAUGCAUAGCUUCCAACCAUCAGUCUAAGGAGAAGUCUGGUAUGGUCACUAAUAAAUGGAAACCCCACAAAAAAGAAACAGCCCAGGGGAAAAAGGAGUACAAUCCACAAACCUAAGAUAGCAUGUAAAAGCACAUAUUAAAUCACAUAUAUCUGAUGGAAGUGCAGAGGAUCUGAUGGAGGUGAUACUGAUAAUGUAGAUUCUGAUGAAGAUUUUUAUGACAGUCUGGGACAAUGAAGUACACAGAAGGUGAUGAUGAUAUAUAUGCUACCAGUGCAGAUGAGGAUGUUGAAGAUGUUCUACUUCCUAGCAAGGGCCAGAAACUGGAAGAAGGGGAUGCAAAGUGAUGGAUAAGUCUCUGUACUAGGUCUUUGUGGGGCUGCAACACAUGGUCCUUUGUGGGGCUGCAGCACAUGGUCCUUGUGGCUGUUAGGAUAGAAUCCUUGACCACCAAGGACUGGCAGUUAGGAUAGCAUCUUAGACUAGCAUCUUAGCAGCAUCUUAGACUAGCAUCUUAGCAUAUGCUUGGCUGGCUAGCAGCCUAUAAAUAUGUAUCCCCAACCCCUCAGGUUGGUAUGGCAUUGUGUGAGAAAUAAACCAACGAAAAUUGUCCCAACUCUCCUAGUGUCAUCUACAACUAUCAAUGCUCAGGCUGAAAGGUCUAACAAGUGGUAUCAGAGCCUCGUUAUCUUGUAUCAUGAGCAUUUCCUGCUCACCUCUCUCACUGGGAGUUGAGCAGCCUAAGCCGGUAGCAGCAGCUGCUCCCACUGCCCCUGGUUACUUCCCUCCUUCCGGACUGUCGAGCAGCAGCUCGUUAGAAACAGCCUCCUCGUCACGCAACAGCCCCCCUGCAGCCAGCCAUGUCUGCAGGUCGCUCUCAGCACACGGCUACCUCGAGCAUACGGCGCCGGCAGGAGGCCGAGCGCGCCGUGGCAGAGGAGCGUGAGCGAGCGGCUGUAGUAGCCGUUGCUGCGGCAGCAAGGGUGUCGAGGUUGGCUGCAGCUAAGCUGGCAGUAGCCAGAGCGGAGGUAGAAGCAGCAGCAGCGGAGGCAGCACAUGAGGCUACGGCGGAUGCCAAGGCACUCCGCGACAACUCUGGCAGCUCCAACGGCUCCGCGCGUGCGGACGAUGACGCCGACGCAGACCGCGCCAAAGUAGCGCAAGAGCGGACGGCGCAGUGGGCAGCCGAGCACGCCCGCGCUCCAGGUGGAGGUGCACACGGAGACGGCGACUGCGACGACCAGGACCGCGGCCUCUACGAGGUCCGAACUGUGGUCAGGGAUGUUGGUCCCAGUGUUGGGUGGCCUACCCUCACUAAAACCAACUACGUCGAGUGGGCCGCGAUCAUGAAGAUCAGGCUCCAGGUGCGGCGCCUGUGGGAGGCAGUCCAGGACAGCAACGUCGACCACCAAGAGGAUCGACGGACGCUGGAUGCCCUCAUCGCCGCAGUCCCGCCCGAGAUGCAGGUCUCGCUUUCCAACAAGCGGACUGCCAAGGAGGCUUGGGACGCCAUCGCCCCUAGGGAUGGCAAUGGGUACCCAUUACCCACGUACCCUGCGGGUAAAAACCCUAUUAGGGUAAGGGUAUGGGACAAAAUUUUACCCAUGGGUAUAUAAAUAGAAAAGUCUAACACCCAUCGGGUAGAGCGGGUAUGGGUAUGGGAUCAUAUAACCCAUACCCAUAUACCCAUGUACCCAUAUAAAAUCUAUAUAAACUCAAAAUUAUCUCUACAAUCUACACUGUGUCAAUAAUUUAUGAAUUGAAAGUGUAUGCCUAUGUGUUGUUGUUUAUGACUAUAUGAUGUUGUUUUAUAAGUAUGUGUUGUAGUUAUAAUAUAUCUUUGUAAACUAUAUGAUACAAUGCAGUUUAUAACUAUAAGUUGUUUAAAUUUAUGUUUUGCAAAUAUGGGUAAUUUUACCCACGGGUACCCGUCUACCCUGUCGGGUAACGGGUAUGGGAAAAAAUUGUAUCCGUUGACGGGUAUGGGUAAGGGUGAUGGGUAAUAUUAGACGGGGCGGGUAAGGGUAUGGGGAGGCUUCACCUGUACCCAUACCCUGCGGGUGCCAUCCCUAAUCGCCCCAGCACGCAUUGGCAGCGACCGUGCUCGCAAGUCCACACUGCAGGCACUACGUAAGGAGUGGGAGAGCCUGGCCUUCAAGCCAGGUGAGGACGUUGAUGACUUUGCUCUCCGUCUCAACACUCUGCUGCAGAAGAUGGUGAAGUUCGGCGAUGCCACCUACACCGAGGAGAGAGCUGCCGAGAAGCUUUUCUGGUGCAUUCCCGAGAAGUACAAGCAGAUGGCUCGCUCGAUCGAGUCUUUGUUGGACCUCUCUGCAAUGACGAUCGAGGAGGCGAUAGGUCGCCUCAAGGUCGUCAACACUGACGAGCCACAGCCUCCCUCGGGGCCCAUCACCACAGGCGGGAAGCUGCUCCUAACUCGGGAGCAGUGGGAUGCCAGCCUUGGUGACAGGAAGAAGGGGGAGCCUUCUUCCACGACGGGCAGCCGCAAGCGCGGCACGCAGCGCAAGGCACAAAGAGGCGCCACUGGCAAGGCACAAGGACGUGCCGAAGGUGACGCCCGUAGAGGCACCAAGGACGGCGCUGCUGGCAAGGCACAAGGACGUGCCGAAGGUGACGUCCGCGGAGGCGAAGCCCAAGCCGGCACAGGACAACAGUUGCCACAACAGUUGCCACAACUGUGGCCGGCUUGGCCAUUGGGCCAAUGAGUGUCGACAGCCACGACAAGGCCAGGCUCAUGUCGCACAGGCGGAGGAGGAGGAGACGGCUCUGUUCAUGGCGCAUGCAAGCAUCGAGCUACCUUCAGCGACACCAGUCGCAAAGGCCCUCCUCCACCUCGACGAGCCCAAAGCGCACGCUCUUCUCGGUGAUGGCUCCGGGAAGGACAAGACUUCUGGGUGGUGCCUCGAUACCGGCGCCACCCACCACAUGACUGGUCGAAGGGAAUUCUUCGCCGAGCUCGACUCCGACGCAUGAGGCUCCGUCAAGUUUGGGGAUGCCUCUGCCAUGGAAAUUAAGGGCGUCGGCUCCGUCAUCUUCACCACCAAGGCGGGAGAGCACCGGCUGCUCACGGGUGUCUACUACAUCCCCACGCUAAGGAACUCCAUCAUCAGCUUGGGACAGCUGGAUGAGAACGGCUCACGCGUGCUGAUCGAGCAUGGGGUCCUAUGCAUCUGGGAUCGCCAGGGUCGCCUUCUCGCCAAGGUACCCAGAGGUGAAAAUCGACUCUACGUCCUCGACGUGCAGGUGGCACAACUUAUCUGCCUCGCUGCUCGUCGGAACGACGAGGCGUGGCAAUGGCAUGAGCACUUUGGGCAUCUUCAUUUCGAGGCCCUGAAGCGUCUGAGUGCCAAGGAGAUGGUGCGAGGCCUGUCGUGCCUUGACCAUGUGGAGCAGUUCUGCGACAUCUCCGUACCGACGAAGCAGAGGCGACUCCCCUUUCCCCAGCAGGCGGUUUUCCGGGCCAAGGAGAAGCUGGAGCUCGUGCACAGGGACCUAUGUGGCCCGGUGACGCCAGCCACACCAGGAGGUCGAUGCUACUUCCUGUUGCUCGUCGACGACCUCUCUCACUACAUGUGGGCGAUAGUCCCGGCAGCAAGGCAAAGGCGGCGGACGCCAUCAGGCGCGCGGGGGUUGCUGCGGAGGCGGAGAGCGGCCGCAAACUACGCGUGUUGCGCACCGACAAUGGCGGCGAAUUCACAGCGGUUGAAUUCGCGUCGUACUGCGCUGAUGAGGGUAUCCAGCGCCACUACUCCGCGUCGUACAACCCACAGCAGAACGGUGUUGUCGAGCGGUGCAACCAGACGGUUGUGGGGAUGGCUCGGGCUCUCCUCAAGCAGAGAGGGAUGCUGGCUGUUUUCUGGGGAGAGGCGGUGCUAACGGUCGUCUACAUCCUCAACCGCUCGCCUACUAAAGCACUCGACGGCAGGACGCCGUACGAGGCCUGGCAUGGGCGGAAGCCGGCCGUCUCCCACUUGCGGGUCUUUGGCUGUCUUGCGUUCGCGAAGGAGCUCGGACACAUCGGCAAGCUCGACGACAGGAGUACUCCGGGAGUCUUCAUUGGCUACGCGGAGGGCUCAAAGGCCUACCACAUCCUCGACCCAAAGACACAGUGUGUGCACACGGCGCGAGACGUCGUGUUCAACAAAGGGCGAGGGUGGAAAUGGGACAAGGCGGUGGACGACGGCUCGACGCCGACGUAUGACGACUUCAUUGUCGAGUACGUCCACUUCAAGGAAGCCGGGGGAGCAAGCAGCUCCUCUUCGCCGAGCACGUCUACCCCAGCCCCCAAAACUCCAUCAACUCCGGUGCCUGCUACGCCGAUGGCACCACAACCGGCGACGCCGCAUACUCCAGCCCCGGCAGUCACCACUCCAGGCUCGUCUUCAUCAGCACCAGCUCACGCAGAGCACAACCCGAUGAAGUUCGCUUCCCCGCUCACUCACGACGAGGAGCGCAUCGACGCGUAUCAUGGCGGCGAACCGCUGCGGUAUCGUACGAUGGAUAAUCUACUCGGCGACCAGCCGGUGCCGGGACUGGUACCACGCGACCUGGAGGCGCGACUACAACUCGUGUGUGAGGACGGCGAACCUCGGUCCUUUGCAGAGGCCGAGAGAGACGCGGCAUGGCACGCCGCGAUGCAGUUGGAGAUGGAUGCGGUCGAGCAGAACCGCACCUGGGAGCUCGCUGACCUCCCUCGUGGUCACCGGGCAAUCACCCUUAAGUGGGUGUUCAAGCUGAAGAGGGAUGGAGCCGGCGCCAUCAUCAAGCACAAGGCUCGCUUGGUGGCCCGAGGCUUCUUGCAGCAGGAAGGAGUCGACUUCGACGACGCUUUCGCUCAUGUGGCACGGAUGGAGUCCGUGGGACUUCUUCUUGCACUAGCUGCCCAGGAGGGCUGGCGUGUCCAUCACAUGGACGUCAAGUCGGCAUUCCUCAACGGCGACUUGAAGGAGGAAGUCUAUGUGCAUGAGCCGACGGGAUUGCGAUCCCCGGCCAGGAGGGCAAGGUACUCCGCCUGCGUAAGGCUCUCUAUGGCCUACAGCAGGCACCUAGAGCGUGGAACGCCAAGCUGGACUCCACGCUAAAGAAGAUGGGCUUCGAGCAAAGCCCGCAUGAGGCGGCCGUCUACCGACGGGGCAGUGGAGGAAAUGCCCUGCUGGUGGGCGUCUAUGCUCACGACUUGGUGAUCACCGGCAUUAAGGAUGCAGAGGUGGCGGCUUUCAAGGAGGCAAUGAAGGCUACCUUCCGGAUGAGUGAUCUGGGGCUCCUCUCCUUUUAUCUAGGGAUCGAGGUGCACCAGGAUCACUCCGGGAUCGCGCUUCGACAGCCCGCCUACGCCAAGCGCAUCGUUCAGCUAGCUGGGCUCACCGACUGCCACCCAGCUCUCACUCCGAUGAAGGAGAGGCUGAAGCUGAGCCGCGACAGCACGACGGAGGAAGUGGACGCUACGCAGUACCGGCGCCUUGUGGGGAGCCUUCGCUACCUCGCCCACACAUGGCCGGACUUGGCAUUCUCCGUCGGCUAUGUCAGUCGGUUCAUGGAGCGACCGACAUCGGAGCACCUGCAGGCAGUGAAGAGGAUCGUCCGCUACGUGGCAGGGACCCUCGACCACGGCCUCCACUACCCUAGGUGUCCGGGGGCGGCACACUUCGUUGGGUACAGCGACAGCGACCACGCCGACGACAUUGACACCAGAAGAGCACGAGCGGGAUCCUCUUCUUCCUCGGCAAGUGCCUCGUGAGCUGGCAGUCGGUCAAGCAGCAGGUGGUGGCCCUGUCCAACUGCGAGGCCGAGUACAUAGCGGCCUCCACCACCUGCACUCAGGCGCUCUGGCUCGCUCGACUGCUUGGUGAUCUCCUCGUCCGAGACACUAGAACGGUGCAGCUCCUGGUGGACAGCAAGUCCGCCCUGCCCUGGCAAAGAACCUUGUUUUCCACAAAAGGAGCAAGCACAUUCGACUGAGGUACCACUUCAUCUGAAGCUGUUUGGAUGAAGGGAGCAUCGAGGCGAGCUACAUCAACACCAUGGACCAGCUCGCAGAUCUGCUCACCAAGCCUCUUGGGAGGAUCAAGUUCCUCGAACUCUGCUUCAGGAGCGGGAUGAUUCGACUCUCCCACAAGACGACGUACAAGAUUUAGGGGGUGAUGGAUAAGUCUAUGUACUAGGGUCUUUGUGGGGCUGCAGCACAUGGUCCUUUGUGGGGCUGCAACUUGUGGCUGUUAGGAUAGAAUCCUUGACCACCAAGGACUGGCAGUUAGGAUAGCAUCUUAGACUAGCAUCUUAGCAUAUGCUUGGCUGGCUAGCAACCUAUAAAUAUGUAUCCCAACCCCUCAGGUUGAUAUGGCAUUGUGUGAGAAAUAAACCAACGAAAAUUGUCCCAACUCUUCUAAUGUCAUUCACAACUAUCAAUGUUUAGGCUGAAAAGUCUAACACAAAGAACCCUAUGAAAGAUAAACUUGAUCUACCAUCUUUAGGUGAAGAGAAAGAGAGAGAAAGGAAGUUCAGAUUCAAAUCUUUCCCACAGGCUGUGACAUGGCCGCACCUCAUUUCAAAUCGGACAUGGUAUUCUCGACGUUUAAGCAGCUGGGGGAUGCCAUUGAUGAAUAUAGUAUUAGAAAUAGGGUAGCCAUAAAGAAGAGCAGGACCUCGAGGCCAAGGGUGGAGGUGCACCGUGCUCAUCGAUACCUUUGGUAUUUCUAGGCGACUUAAGUGGUUUAAGAAGCUUGUUUGUGGAGAGAUAUGUUGCUCAAUAUACUGGUGCCAAACAAUCUAUACCUACUAAUAAAGAAAAUAGGUAUUCUUAGUUCGUCAUGCUAUUUUAUAGAAAAAACCCUGAUGUUUCUGACAUUAAACCCGUAGUACAUAUUAAAUGUUCUUUAAAAUAUUCAUAUCUUCUAAACCGUAACUCUAAAUUUAACAUGUUAUAUAUGAAACUACCUUGUAAACCCUGAUGUUUUCCGGCCGGCCGCGAACAUACCAAAGUUGCUUUGUAUGUCGUCUACUCGCCCACGCAGCGUCUCCCCUGAAUCCCGACACGACAAACAUCACCGCCAUCCGACACGGCCCUUUGAUCUCAUCAUCGCAGAUCGAAAGCAUCAAAUGCGAGGCACGACGCCAUGGCCUCAACCUCCCUACGCGUCGACACGUGCAAUUGGAUGGAGUGCCAAUCCAACGUGGCCAUCGGAUCGCAUUGUUGCGGAGCGACAGUUGUAGUGCAAUCCAACGGAGGCAUGACGACAUGGUCUUUGACCUCCCUACACGAAGAGGCACGGAUUAGGACGGCCUUGCCUCGACUUAUUGGCAUGAAGGUAAGCCCAGCGACGCCCAUGAUGCGGUGCAAAGUCCUGCUGGCCAGUGAAGGGAGCAACACAAAAUUCCUAAAAAUCGAAGUUUGGUCCAGCCACUGUCCCAACGCGGCUUGAUUCGAGCAAAUGAAGAUGUCUCUCAUCGAUCCAAACUAACAGGAGGACCACGCCUACACGGCAAAUCUAAAUACGGAGCUUGUUUCCGCUUUGCACAUGGUGAGCAACUCGCCAAUUCAUCUGUACUUUAUAUGUUUGACAUCAACUUUUCUAUCACGUAUUAAUGGUUGUCAAAAGUAAGCUGGCAAUGUUGUUCAGAUCUCCUAAUCUCACUGAUUCCUUAUCAAUAGUAGGGGAGCAGUCAGGUUCGCUAAAACAUAUCAAUGACCGCUUGGUCUAAAUAACUGAAUUGUUCUUUUCAUGUAAUCCUAAACAUGCACUUAAUUUCAUACCGUGAUCAGGUUUAUCAAAAAUCAAGCAUCUCUUUAUCUAAAUAACUUAAUGGUGUGUUUCCUUGGAAUCUGAAGCAUGCAUGGUGAAAAAGGAAAAUCCAACACAUGCACUUGAUUUCAUGGAAAUUAUUGUGAACUCUUCAAAGAGAAAAAUUGUUUUGGUGUGGUAUGUGCAAAUCUAUUUAUAAUUUUCCUUCUGUGUCAUAGAAGGUUGAGUUGUACUUCGAGUUUUGUAGGUCUGCCUUGUAAGUAAGGUUAGAAGAAAUUUGGUAAUCACUGUAACUUACCAAUUAAACCUUAGUUUCUUAUUUAUGUACAGACAUGUAUGAUACUCAUGGUUUAGGCUCUAAAUAAUAUAUCAACUCAUGAAGCUAAUGGCUCCUAACACCGCAAAUUAACUAGAAGGUAAUUUAAAUAUUAAAAUUAACUAAUAAAGAAAAUAGGUAUUCUUAGUCCGUCAUGCUAUUUUAUAAAAAAAAUCUGAUGUUUCUGACAUUAAACCCGUACUACAUAUUAAAUGUUUUUUAAAAUACUCAUAUCUUUUAAACCGUAACUCCAAAAUUGGUUUAAAACUCUAAAAUUAACAUGUUAUAUAUGAAAUUUGAUUAGAAAAAUAUGUAGAAUCUGCAUAUGAUGUUAUUUUACCUGUUAAUUUUUUAAAGAAAGACUAUCUAGGAUAUAAUCUUAAUAAAUAAUGCAUUAUUCGUCUUUCUUUCAUACAUGUAUUGAUCCGAAUUGAGGAUGAACAUCUCAACAAAAUCAGGAUUGGAGAUGAAAUUGAAGGUCACUUGCCCAUUUCUUUGUACGUGUUAAAUAUACAUUCAAGCCGUGUUGAAAUAGAAGACAUGUGAAAUCUUAAACUUCACAUUUGUAGAGUAAGACCAUCUUUGUUUAUGCCGUAACUACAAAUUUUCAUAUUAUAGAUCAUUUUUUAUAAAUUAAGAGCUUGUGGUAUUUUUUUUCUCCCGUUGAUAUGAAGGCUAUGAAAGCUACCCAGUAUCAAAAUUCAACAGGUUCCUGUACCACAUAGCAAAGGAGUUUGGGGUGUGAUUCCGCUGUGUUGGGGCUUGGGAUCGAGUCCAACAUUGCAGGCGUCAAGGCUCCCUCAUUUUGAUGCCAUUUGCAGGAUUUCAGACGGCCGGACCAGUCAGACAAAUUGAUGAUAUAGCAAAAGGGGUUCUCUAGAUUGAUUGGAUAGCCAAAAAUGUUCCAACGUGUCCAGAUAUUACUUGUGGGCCUAAAGGAAAUUGCUCUGCUUCCCUCAGAAAACUAUAUCAAAAAUUAGAACCAAUCCAUGGUUCUAAGUUGUUCGUGCACGAGGACCAAUUCACGGUUUUUCAUGCUGUUUGUACAGAAAAAGGGUGACAAGUGAGGCCAGCAAUGUAAGUGGCACCUGUAGAGAUAGCUCAGCACUAAUGGAGUAAGAGGCUCAAAAUCAGACUGACCAAAACUUCAUCAGGAGUAAAAAAGCACCACCGUUUUAGCACAGCAGCUAAUGUGAAAGCAAGAACAAAUCUCCAUAAUACUUGUCUAUAGGUUCACAGACAUAUGGAUCCACAGUCGAGGGGAGACAAAAUAUAAGGAUUCUUCAAAUUAAACCAUCCAUGUUCAACAGAGCACAACAUAAGAUAGGUGGAUAACUAGGGAGGUACUCAGAUCAAGUAUCAAAACUCAACAAGCACUACAAUAUAACAAUGCGCUCUAAUCUUCCUCCUCGCCCUCGUUCUCGGCAAUGUUGAAGUACCGGAGCUCGUACACGUUGCGCUCCUUGUUGGCUGCGAUCACACGAAGCCAGUCCCGCACGUUGUGCUUCUUCAAGUACUUCUUGGUCAAGUACUUCAGGUACCUGAGAAGCCAGACGAAUGAUGUCAUCAGAUCAUAUACAACCAAAGAUGGCUGCUGGUAACGUAUAUUGGACAAGAA
rnacentral:lncRNA from 1 species